rnacentral:lncRNA from 1 species
CCGUAACACCCCCAGAGACUCAAAGGUAAGUGGUCUGGGUUGGGACCUGGGCAUUUGGAUAUUUAAAAGCUUUUCAGGAGAUUGCAGCUAGCAGCUAAGUUUGAGGACUCUUGAUCUAAGAUUGCACAAAACCCAAGGACGUUUGUACAUGCUGAUUCUUCUUCUCCUCUCCCCUUCUCCUCCUCCUCCUUUUCCUCCUCCUCCUCCUCUUCCCUGCUUUUGAAGCAGGAGAUAUCUCCCCCUUUGAGCUGUCAAACCCAAGAUAACAAACCAACACCUCCCCCUCCCAGUAGGACUGGUUCUGAAGGGGUUAAACAAAAAAGUGGGCAGAGAACAGAAAGACACUGAUGUGGAAUGUGAGAGAAGACUCACCAGGGAGUCUUCCUCUUAAUCCAGAUCCCCUAGAAGUUCAGGGGCUGGCCAGAGCUGCCCCAUCAUUUGGUAAAUUUCACUGAGCAGGCAGAGUAAGAUCCCCUGUAGCUGAUAAAAAUGAUCCCUUAUAUUUAGGUAACAGCAAAGUGGUUACCAGCAUGGGCUUGGAGUCCCCACAGCCAGCCCGUCCCUCAGGAAUUCAUGGAACCAUUUGUAGCCUCAGUUUCCUCACCUGCAAAAUGGGUAUGAUAGUGUAAGACAUGUAGACUUGUUGUGGGAAUUAUUAACAACUAAAGAUAAUGGGGGGGGGGGCGCCUGGGUGGCUCAUUCGGUUAAGCGUCCGACUUCAGCUCAGGUCACGAUCUCGAGGUCCGUGAGUUCGAGCCCCGCAUCGGGCUCUGGGCUGACAGCUCAGAGCCUGGAGCCUGCUUCUGAUUCUGUGUCUCCUUCUCUCUCUGCCCCUCCCCCGUUCAUGCUCUGUCUCUCUCUGUCUCAAAAAUAAAGAUUAAAAAAAAAAUUAACAAUUAAAGAUAAUGGUUACUAAGGGCGUACCUGUGCCUGGUGCUUGCCAGCUUUCUGUGCAUUGCCACAUUCGACUCCUCAUAUGGCCCACAAGGUAGGACUAUAAUUACCCCCUAUGAUGGUUGAAGAAGCUGGGCCUCAGAAAGGCCAAAGAACUUGCUCAGGGUUAUAUAAUUAGGAAGAGGCACAUCCCCGGGCAUCUGUCUCUAGGGCCCAUGUGCGGAAGUAAUCUGCUGUUUCCCUCAUUGACUGAGAAUGUGGACAAAACACUUUGCACAGGGCAUCUCAGUGGCGCAUUCCCAUAAACAACAGUUAUCGCUGCUGCCAGCAAAGCACUUUCACUGAAUUGACUCAUUCGUUCAUUCACAAUAUAUUUGUUAUUGAGAGCCCACUAUGUGCCAGGCAGUUUCCCAGAUUCUAGAGCUAAAACAGUGAGUAAGAGGGAAGCCAAGUCUCUGUGAAUUCACAAUCCGCUGAAUGAGGGAAAUGGGAGAAAGUAUCAUGGAUCCUCGUUUUUUUGCAGAUUCUGUAGUCGCGAAUCCCCCUACUCGCUGAAAUGUAUUUGUAACCCUGAAAUCAAUACCUGCAGCACUUUCGUGGUCAUGCAUGGACAUGGGCAGAGUGGCAGAAAAUUGGAGUUGCCCAACAUGCAUGUUCCCAGCUGAGGUCAAAAAGGGGCAACGCUGUGCCUUCUGGUUUUAGCUCUCAUACUGUAAACAGGUGUCCUCUUUGUGGUUUAUUUUGUGCCAUGUUUUCUGCAUUUUUGUGCUUUUUCUGUUGGUUGGUGAUUUCUGUUUAAAAUCACCCCCAAGCAUCAUGCUCAAGUGCUGACUAGUGCCCCUAAACACAAGAAGGUUGUGAGGUGCCUUACAGAGAAAAUGUGUAUUAUUAGAUAAGCUUUGUUCAGGCAUGAGCUGUCCUGGGUUUGGCUGAGUUCAAUAUGAAUGAAUCAACAGUAUUUAUUAAAUAAGGUGUCUUUAAAAAGAAACACACAUGGGGUGCCUGGUGGCUCAGUCAGUUAAGCAUCCGGACUUCAGGGCAGGUCAUGAUCUCAUGGUUUGUGAGUUUGAGCCCCUGUGUCAGGCUCUGUGCUGACAGCUCAGAGCCCGGAGCCUGCUUCGGAUUCUGUGUCUUCCCCUCUCUCCACCCCUCCCCUGCUCAUGCUCUGUUUCUCUCUGUCUCUCAAAAAUAAGUAAAUGUUAAUAAAUAAAUAAAUAAAUAAAUUUUAAAAGAAACAUACAUAAAACAAGGUUAGGUAUUGAUUGAUCUGUUGAUGAAAAUGUGACCAGAGGCUCACAGAAACCUAACUUCGGUUUGUUUUUUUUUUCCCUGGGAACAAUGGUUCAGUUUUUGCUAAUUCCAUAUUCACGGCAAAUUUACAGAACAUAGCUGCUGCGAAUAAUGAGAAUUGACUGAAAUUACACAUCACUGCACAUGCAAUGAAAGAAUCGAGGUGGGGAGGCAUACAGAAGGGGCCUGCCUUAGACUGGGUAUCAGAAAGGUGUGAAGCAGCCAAGCACAGGGUGAGGAAAAAGUGUUUAGGCAGAAAAAGUAGCAUGUGCAAAGGCCCAGAGGUAGUCAGGAGCUUGGCAAGGUCAGGGAACUCAAGGAAAGCCAGUAUGUAGGGAGUGUGGUAGGCAAAUAGAACAGAAGUACAAUAAUGAUAAUAUGCUGGAGACAGAGGUUGAGGCCAGGUGGCACUGUGUUUUGGGGACAGCUCUCAUUUCAUGCGAUUAGCACAGUAAUCCUGGCAGGCUGGGCAGGAUGGUUUCCACUUCUGACAGAUGAUGAAAUUGGUGCCCCAUGCAGUUAAAUACCUUGUCGUAUGUUACACAGCUGGUAAGCAGCAAAACUACCUCCAGCACCUCCGUCUUAAUCUGAUGCUGAACAGACAGUUGAUGAGAGAUCUCAGGACACGGUCCUGGGCUGGAGAUUUGGUUUGGUUUGGGGAGGGAUCACUAACUAAGCGGUUGCAGAAGCCCUCAAGCAUGGAUGAAACUACCUGGGACAGUGGGUGGAGUGUGGAGAAGACAAAUCCCAUGCCCUUUAAAAAUAAAACUAUUCCUGGUAUAAAACCAGUAAUGCCUCAGUAGAAGAGUCCCAGUUGCCUGCAGGGGCAGGGGGAGGAGUGAGGAUAGGCACAAAGUUGUAGAAAAAGGCACUGAGAAGGUCUGAUGCAAGCUACCCCCUAAAUUCUAGGUCUGGCACUGGGCCUUCCCGUCCAUGGGAUAGCCAGGUCUCAAUCUGCCUCUUGUCCCUGCAGGAUGGUGAUCUUGAACAGGGGUCAGCAAACGUUUUUCUGUAAAGGGCCAGGUAGGAAAUACUUUGAGCUUUGCGGAUCAUAUGGUUUCAGUUGCAUAUGCUCUCACCUGUGUGUCUGUGGAGUAAAAGCAGCUGUAGAGGGUAUGGAAAUGAAUGGGUGUAACUUUGUUCCAAUAAGACUUAAUUUACAUACACCGAAAUUUGUGUUUCAUAGGAUUUUAAUGGGUCACAAAAUGUUAUUCUUAUUUUGAUUUGUUAAAACUGUUUAAAAAUGGGAAAAACAUCCUUAGCUCACAACUGAACAGAAGCAGGCAGUGGGCUGGCUGUGGCUCGUGGGCUGUAGUUUGCCAACUCUUUAUCUAGAGUCAUGGGACCUGAGGAUCAUAGGAAUAUUAAAUGUCCAUCUAGCUAAAUCUUUACCUGACCCAUGAAUCCCCAUCGAGGGUCCUCAGCUAUUUCUUGAGGUCUCCAAUGACGUGGCGUUUACUCACUGGGCACCUCAUUCCAGGGUUAAAGUUUAAACUAUGCCAUGGUUGGGGUUUCCCCAAAAGCAGAUCAUGAGACAAGGAUUUGGGUGCCAGGACUUUAAUUGGGAAGUGAUGGCAGAAAGCCCGGUGAGAGUGCAGUGGACCUGGGGAAGAGAGGAAAGCCAUGUGGACAAGGGGAAAGGGUGUGUUGGUAAGUGAGGUACCACUGGGGCAACGGCUCAGUCUCACUGGGGACCCUUGGAGAGAUCAUAUGUCCCAUGACGAGGCAAGGAAGCUGGGGUAUUUCCCUGCCUUGGCGCUUCUGCUCACCAUCUGUGGUAUACACGAUGCAGCCAGAAAAAGCCUUCAGGCAGGAAAAAGGCCACCAGCGCAACAGUCUGCAGGUCUGCAGGUGACCUCUGGGGGGCGGCGACGAGUACAGGGGGGAAGCUACAAAGUGUUUCAGAUUUGGGUGUUUUGGGUGUGCCGUGUAUACACCACUGGGGACCUUGUGAGAUGAUCUGGUGUGGAAUAGAGUCGUGUCACUAAACAACGUGAAGCCUCAGACUAGGAUAGAUGUUCCCUUUUAAGCUGCCUCUUUGAUCCUCUCCAAGCUGCUGUCUGUCCCCAGAGCAGAAGCUACAACCACACGGGCCUUAUCCUUCCCAGAGCUCACCAGACUCUCCUGGCUACAGUCAACAAAAGAAGUCUCAGUGUAGGACUCAACUGGCUUGUCUCUCCUUUUUAUGGAAAAGAUGGCAGUCCUCAAAUUCAGGUCGUGGAACAGGCAGUCUUCGUUAGCUAGCAUUUCGUAACAUCGUGUUGUUUAUUUUUUUAUUUUUAUUUUUGAACGUUUAUAUAUUUUUGAGACAGAGCAUGAACGGGGGAGGGUCAGAGAGAGAGAGAGGGAGACACAGAAUCUGAAACAGGCUCCAGGCUCCGAGCUGUCAGCACAGAGCCCGACGCGGGGCUUGAACUCACGAACCGUGAGAUCAUGACCUGAGCUGAAGUCGGACACUUAACUGAGCCACCCAGGCACCCCACGUGUUGUUUAUUUUUAUAGCUCCCACCUCUACAGGGCAAGUGUUUGUCUCUCUACAUUUACAGUAGUAAUAUAGAGAGCUUUCUUUAAAAUAAAUUUACAUAGGACCGCCUGGGUGGCUCAAUCCGUUAAGCGUCCGACUCUUGGUUUCGGUUCAGGUCACGAUCUCACAGUUUCAUCAGUUCGAGCCCCGUGUCAGGCUCUGCACUGGCAGCACAGAGUCUGCUUGGGAUUCUCCUCUCUCCCUCUCUCCUUGCUCCUCCCCCAUUCACACUGUUUCUCUCUCAAAAUAAAUUUAAAAAAAUGUUUUAACUUAAAGAUAAAAUAGAUUUACAUAAAUUUAUUUCUACUUAAAAACAUGAAAAAUAGUAUAGAUAGUAUGAGAACAUGAUAAAAAUAAUAGUUGCCACUUACUGAGCACUUACUAUGUGCUAUGUGUUAUUCUAAGCCCCCUUCUCGCAUAAUUUCAUUACUCCUCACCACAGUCACAUGGGUUUAGUCCUAUUUGAGGUAGGUACUAUUAUUAGCUGAGAAAACAGGCCCAGGGAAGUUAUUACAUAACUUGCCCAAAGUUAUAUAGCUAGUAAGUGACAACUGGAAAGUGAACCCGGGUUGUCCUGCGCCACAGUUUAUGUUCUUAAUUACAGGUUUAAACUUCUCAAAAUUUGACAAAAGGAAGAAAGGAAGUGAAGAUAUUAUUUGAAUUAUUGGUAGUAGAGGAAAUCUGCCGUUGGAAAUUUCCUCUUUCUUAUCCACUUGGAAUCCUUCUCCCUGAAUCUGCUGGCCCUUGGUUGUCAUACUUUCUUCUGGAGCCUCAGGGAACAAAUCUGUCCCCUUUUCAUUGCGACAGUCCUUCAGAUAUUUGAUGAUAGGGAACCUGCUGGCCCUACCAGAUCCUCCCUGUUCUAGAUUAAACAUUGCCAGCUUCUUCAGCUUAUACUCUAUCGUGUGUUCUUGGCAUCAUACCGCGUCCCCCCCCCCCAAGCAAAGGGCCUCUCUCUUCCUUAAUUCUUUUUUGUCCCGUGAGACUCAUAAAGUUGCUUUUGGUGCCGCAUGCUUUGUUUUCAGGGCCCCCACAGCUCACUCUGGGCACAGGGUUGAUAGCUGUGGUUGGGGUGAUUGAUGUGGCAAAGCGCAGCUAGACUGUGACGUCCAGGGAGAGGCUGUCACUGAAAGAAAGCCCCCUCAGGGCCAGCAUGGAGGGGGCCUGGCACUGGUGGAGCUCAUUCUUCACGGGCCAGGGAUGGAGCUUGGUGCACCAUCCAUAGUUUGUUGAUUCCUUGGUGCACAUGGAGCUAAUCAGGCUGAAAGGGACAGACUAACCAAAUUCACAGGAGCCUGGUAAGGAAGCCAGACCACAAAUAUAUUAAAUCACAAUGGGACAAGCACUGCGAGGCAGCCUGAAAACUUUAUGUCAGCUUGUCAGCACAUUCCUUCAUCUGUAGGGAAGCCCGCAUGGGAAGCCAAGGUCUAGUUAGGUCUGUAUUCACAGAACCAAAACAAGGUGAGCAGGAUGGAUGAUUUUUAAUAGGACAGCCUAAGAUGUUUGCAUCCCCUGAGGGGUACAAGGGUCCACACUGACAGCGCGCCUGAUCUAAGCCCCCGUCCCUGUGCCCACGGCAGACGUGACUGAAAUCGGUGACCAAAUCGUUGCCUCCCUCCUGCUCCCUGGACCAACCGUACGAUUCUGUCAAGAGAGUAUUCCAGGAAGCUCUGGCCAGCCCUCUGAGCCGCCUGUAACGUUCAAGAGUUUCCAGCAACCCCACUGCUCUGAACAACGUGGGCGAUAAGACAGACUCUCAAAGCCUUUCUUUUGUACCAGCUUUCCUGAGCUCCUCGCACUCCACCAUUUCUGUCUACCUAAUAUUCCUUCAGCUUAUGUUAAUACAAUCGGCCUUUUUUUCCCCCUCAUCGUCACGUCUUGAUUUGAUUUCCAGGCCUUGCUCUUCCUGCUUUGUCCAGAGGCGCAUCCUGUCCUGUCUUGAGAACUUCUGCAGAUCAGUAAUUACAGAUACUGUGUGUGCAUUCUGCUGAUACACUGUCCCACAUUUUGGGGUCACUUGCUGUGCACCUUCCAACAAUAGCCUCUUGAAGCUGAGACACCGUUUCCUGGGAUGCUGAGUUCCAUUAUAGAAUUGGCAGCAACCCAGUUUUACACUGUUGCUGCGGGGCGCGAGGUAAGAGGGGCGCCAGAGAGGAAGCUUAGGGUCCCAAGCCCAAGAGAUCGCUGAGCUUGCUGUUAUGAGCACCGAUUGUGCUUCUCUGAGUGUGUUGGGAGACCUAUUAUUUUGGAACAAGCCGAAUUUGCCAGCUUUGAAAAACGUACGUUUUGGACAUGGCCUCUCCUCCCACCCAUCUGAAGAACCUUGACUUACCUAAAAGGAAGACAAAAUGCAUAUGGAGAAUCUGUGGCCCCUGGGGCUACUAAGGGAGGCCAUCUUGAGAGGAAAAGCGGUCCCUGCCCUCAGGGGCCGCCAGGCUGCCUCGCCUGAGAGGGGAGAUCCAGUUCUCAUAUGAGGAAGGCUGCCAGUCUCAUGAGAGAGGCGCCAUCCCUAACCUCAGGGAGUCCGAUGGAGGAGGAGUCCGAUGGAGGAGGGGUGAAUUGUUCCCCCCACUCUGCCGAUAUCACUGUAUCUGCGGCUUCUCUGAAGGCCAUCAACAGGCAGGGAAUGGGGCCAGCUUCAUUCACAACUCUGAUACACUUAUGCAAAGUCACAGCAGAGGGCCAGAGGUUCUGAGGGUAAACCUGGGGAUUUUUUAAAAAUAGAUUUUAUUUUUUUUAGACCAGUUUAGAUUUACAGAAAAAUUGAGAUGAUAGCAUAGAGAGUUCCCACAUACCCCACACCCAGUUUCCCCUAUUAUUAACAGUAACAAACGUGCUAUGGUACAUUUGUUGUAACAAAAUGAACUAAUAUGAAUACAUUGUAACCAAAGUCCAUAGCUGAUUCAGUUUUUCUUAGUGUUUACCUUGAUUCCAAGAACUCAUCUAGUAUCACAUUUAGUUGUUACUUCUUCCGUUCCUACUGUCUGUGACUGUAUUAGAAUUUCCUUGUUUUUGUUUUUAAGGUUUUUUUAAUGUUUGUUUUUUGAGAGAGAGAGAAACAGAGUACGAGUAGGGAAGGGGCAGAGAGAGAGGGAGACACAGAAUCCAAAGCAGGCUUCAGGCUCUGAGCUGUCAGCACAGAGCCCGACGCAGGGCUCGAACCUAUGAACUGUGAGAUCAUGACUUGAGCCGAAGUUAGACACUUAACCCACUGAGCCACGCAGGUGCCCCAGAAUUUCCUUGUUUUUGAUGACUUUCACAGUUUUGAGAAGUACUGGUCGGGUAUAUUGUAGAAUAACCCCUCUAUUGGAAUUUGUCUGAUCUUUUUCUCAUGGUUAGACUGGUGUUAUGGGUUUGGGAGAGGAAGGCCACAGAGGUAAAGUGCCAUUUUCAUCACUUCAUGGUCAACAUGACCUAUCGCUGUUGAUACUGACCUCGAUCACCUGACUGAACGCUUGUCAGGUCUGUCCACUGUAAGGUUACUCUGUUCCCGUCCCCCCCACCCACUCCAUUCCAUGCCAUACUCUUGGAAGGAAGUGAUUAUGCACAGCCCAUGCUUGAGGCACUGGGGAGUUCUAUCCUCCCUUCUUUAGGGUAGUAUAUCUACAUUAUUUAUUUGGAAUUCUUCACAGAUGAUUUGGCUCUUCUCUCCCAUUUAUUAAUUUCUCUUUUUAUUUAUAAUAGUAUGGACUCAUGGGCUUUAUUUUAUACUCUGGGUUAUAAUCCAAUACACUUAGUUUUGUUGUUCAAAAGAUUCCAUCUUUGGCCACUGGGAAUGGAAUUUGUGUUUUUAAACUAGCUCCUGAGGCAUUUCUUCUGUGUAUUAGAGUUUGAGACCCAUGUAGUUCUGGGUUGUUAGCCCAGCUCCACCACUACUGGCCAUGUGUGUGUUCUUGGCAAGUUGCUUAACCACUUGGGCCUCAGUUUCCUCAGCUGAAAAUGGAGCUCAUGUUGUUCCCUACCAUUUAGGGUUAUUGAGUGAGACGCACCAUAGUAAGUCCUCUGUACACAGAAGUUGUUGUUAUUGGGAGUUUGGCAUUCAAAUUCCUUCUGGAUCUGCUCCAGAAGGUUACAGAUCAAGGCCAAAUAUGCCUUUAUAAUACUUACCUUCCAAGACGACAGACUUGUGUGGCACAUGUUCCUGUCAUCUGCUCCCUGCUCACCUCCUCUCCCUGCUGAACCGGCAUUCUCUUUAGAGACAGACAGACAGACAGACAACCCACCUGAAGUUCCCUCCCCCAGUUCACACACCCGCACAUCCUCAUUCUUUCAAAGCCCCCUGAAACACCACUUCCUCUGUGAUACCACCUGCCAGCCAAGCAAAAGUCCCCCUCUUCCUCUCAGCCACCAGAGUGCCCACUGUGCCCGCUCUUGCCUGACAGCCCUUAUCACUGGAGACCCUGCAUCAGAGCAAGGGGACUGUCCUCCCUGAACAGUCCUCAUCUCCAUUCAUCUUUCUAUCCCGCCUGCACACGAGGGGCUCGCCGCACCAGCCUGUGGUCUUGUUUCCACCUCUGUAAGUUUUGACGAGGGGAAAGAACUUAUCCUGGGUGCUGACUGGGCUUAACUGGACAGACAGCCUGUGAGGGCAGAACUUCGCAGAAGUCGAGAGGCUGACUGUGUGUUAUUUACACACACACACACACACACACACACACACACACACUGAUUGUGGGAAAAUAUACAUGAUGUAAGGUUUACCAUUUUAACCAUAUAAAAAUGUACAGUUCAGUGGCAUUAAGUACCUUACAUGGUUGUGUAACCAAACAUGACCACCAUCCAUCUCUAGAAUUUUCUCAUCUUCCUAAACUCAGUAAACAAAGACUUCAAUUUUCUGAUUAAUUUUAAUUUCCUCCCCAUUCCCUCCUUCCUCCAGACUCUGACAACCACCACUGCACUUUCCAUCUCUAUAAUUUUGACUCCUCCAGGUACACUAUGUCCGUGAUAUCGUGCCAUAUUUGUUCUUUUGUGACUGGCUUAUUUCACUUGGUAUAAAUGUCUCCAGGGUUCAUCCUGGAGACAUUUUUAUUUUAAAAAUAAAAUCUAUUUUUAAAAAAUCCCCAGGUUUACCCCCAGAACCUCUGGCCCUCUGCUGUGACUUUGCAUAAGUGUAUCAGUGCCACACGUUGUGGCAGGUGUCAGAAUAUCCUUCCUUUUUAAGAUGGAAUCGUAUCCUGUUGUAUGCGUGUAUGGCAUUAGGUUUAUCCAUUCUUCUGUCCGUGGACUUGUGGGUUGCUUCUAUGUUUUGGCCAUUGUGAAUAAUACUGCCGUGAGCGUAAGUGUACAAAUGUCCUUGCUUUCAGUUCUUUUGGGUAUAUAUCCAGAGUGGAAUUGCUGGAUGAUAAGGUAAUUCUACUAUUUUAUUUUUUGAGGAAUCACCAUACCAUUUCCUCAGUGUCUAUGCCAUUUUUCAUUCCCAUCAGCAAUGCGCAGAGCUUUCUAUUUCUCCAUACCCUUGUCAACAUUUGUUAUUUUCUGGGUUUUGGGGUAAUAGCCAUUCUAAUAGGAUCUCAUUGUGAUUUUGAUUUGCAUUUUCCUGAUGACUAGUGAUGUUGAGCAUCUUUUCACGUGCUCGAUGGCCAUUUAUAUAUCUUCUUUGGAGAAAUGUCUGUUAGGUCCUUUGUCCAUUUUUGAAACAGGUUGGGUUUUGUUUUGCUUUGUUUUUGCUGUUAAGUUGUAGGAGGUCUUUGUGUAUUCCAGAUACUCAUCCCUUAUCAGAUGUGUGAUGUGCAAAUAUUUUCUCCCAUCCUGUCUUUUCACUUUGUUGAUAGUGUCCUUUGGUACACCAAAGUUUUUCAUCUUAAGGAAGUUCAGUUUAUCUAGUUUUUCUUUUGUUAUCUGUGCUUUUGGUGGCAUCUGGAAGCAAUCAUUAUCAAGUUCAAUGUCACAAGGCUUUUACUCUGUGUUUUCUCAUAAGAGUUUACAGUUUUAGAUUUUAUGUUUAGGUCUUUGUUCCAUUUUAUUUAUUUAUUUAUUAAUUUUUUAUUUUUUUAUUUUUUAUUUUUUUUUUCAACGUUUAUUUAUUUUGGGGACAGAGAGAGACAGAGCAUGAACGGGCGAGGGGCAGAGAGAGAGGGAGACACAGAAUCGGAAGCAGGCUCCAGGCUCUGAGCCAUCAGCCCAGAGCCUGAUGCGGGGCUCGACCUCACGGACCACGAGAUCGUGACCUGGCUGAAGUCGGACGCUUAACCGACUGUGCCACCCAGGCGCCCCGUCUUUGUUCCAUUUUAGUUAAUUCUGGUAUAAAGUGUCCAGCUUCAUUUCUUUUGCAUGUGGGUAUUCAGUUCUCCCAACACUAUUUGUUGAAAAGACUAUCCUUUCCCCCGUAAGUGUUUUUGGCCUCCUGUUGAAAAUCAUUUGACCAUACACGUGAGGGUUUAUUUCUAGGCCCUCUAUCCUAUUGCUCUAUAUGUCUGUAUACCAGUGUCAAGCUGUGUUGAUUACUAUACCUAUGUUGUAAGUUUUGAUAUCAGAAAGUGUGAGUCCUCCUACUUUGUUCAUCUUUUUCAAGAUCAUUUUGGCUCUUUGAGGUUUCUCGAGAUUCCAUAUAAAUUUUAGUAUGGAUUUUUCUAUUUCUGAAAAAAAAAGUCGUUGGGAUUUUGAUAGAGAUUGCAUCGAAUCUAUAGAUUGCUUUGAGUAGUAUUUCCAUCUUAAUGUUAAGCUUCCUUAUCAAUGAACAUGGGAUGUCUUUCCAUUUAUUUGUAUCUUCUUUAAUUUCUUUCAGCAAUGUUUUACAGUUUUUAGUGUAUGAGUCUUUUACCUCCUUGGUUAAUUUUAUUUGUAAGUAUUUUAUUCAUCUUUGAUGCUUACUUCCACUUUUUAGAGUCUUGAUAUAUUGAAAAAUGAAGAAAUACAGCUUAAACUGUAUGAUCCUGUCAGUGUUUCUCAGGGACAACAUGUAUAGACAGUGAUAGAAUUAUAUAGUGUCAAAAGCCUAACUCUGAGUCCCUUUGUGAAUGUGAGGUUCCCCUGUCCACUCACCCCCACCAUGACGGGAGGAAGGGGGCUGAGUGGUUCCUUUUACUGGGAUAGGAGUGAGGAUAGAAAAAUAUUCCUCCAGGUGAGCCCUGCUGAAGGAUCCAGCAAAGACCUGAAGUCACCAUAAGCCUAAUUAAAACACCUCCUCAGCAUGUGAUGCUGAGAACAUUCAGACUCCUUUGAAGCCUCAGGCUAGAAGACCCUCAAGCCCCUAGGUCAUGCAGGCUCUCUACCUGGAACGGAAACAGUGACCCAGCGAUGCAGAUGAAACAGAACCACCAGCUUGCCCACUCCCACAGUCUCACUAACCCCGCGGGGAUUUUGUUGGCUGUGUUUCUGGCCCACAUCAGUUUCAAUUUGAACAGUUGUGUGAGGACAAAAGGUGAGGGAGCACAGAGUGCGAGGGCCAGUCCCUGCUCAGGCAUUUGCUCACCCCCUGGAAGUCUUUGAAACAACAAGCCUCUUCUCUUCUGUCACUCAACUGUCUCAGGGCUUUUUUGACCUCAGAGUCUCCAGUGAAACUCUGUUCUUCCUCAGGCAGUGAUUUAUUUUGCUUCUCUCUCUCUCUCUCUCUCUCUCUUUUUUUUUUCUUUUGGCCUGUGGGGAUGUACAUGCAACCCCCCCACACACACACACAUGCACACGCACACACCAUUCUCUAUCACUCUACGUGUCUGCAGAAUCCAUAGGCAGCAGAAUCUGUCUCCUCUCUCUUCUUCCCUCCUCCUCCUCCCUGCUAAAGCCUGUUGUUGUCUUAUCCCCAGCCGGAAGCCCCUCUGUCACAGGGCCAGGUUCCUGGCCACUUGUUCUACUCCAGCUGCUGCUCCCGCAGGCUCCAGCCAACUCCUAUUUCCAUAGCAACUGAAACUCAUUUUUCCAUCCCUGCAGUUCCACUUUGGAAAGGAAACCCAUAACAGUCUCUUAAAAGAAAAAAAAAAAAAUUGAGCUACAUCUGGCAUAGUCAACUUGGACUAUACAGAAUUCCCAGCUUCCCCAACUCCCUGGUCCCCUAAAGACCCCUCCUUCCCUCCAUCAGCCUCCACCCCUCUCUGACUCCCCAGAGCUCCUGACUCAAAAACAAGACUGAGAAGUCUGUGUGGGUCCUUUCUCUCUUUAAAUCAAUGCAAGAUGACUUUGUGCUUUGGCAACCCAAGAAGAGGAAGAAGUUAGAGGCUGUAUUCCGUUGUAUCAGGUGAUGUUAACCCGCAUCAUCCGGGAUGCCUGUUUCUUCACCCUCCCCUUGGCCAGAGGGGUCGGACAUCGCCUGAAUAUGUCAUAUCAUCUCCGAAGAUGAGGUUCCCACUCUCCGACUCCCAGGGCGGCAUGACUCUAGGUUGUUUGAGCAAGAUGUGAUGACUGUACUCCCAGUGUGGUGAUUUGGCUGGCAUUAUGCCUAUGGAAGCCUACGAGUGUGAUGUGAAGGGGUCUCUCCCCUCUCCUACCCCCCAAAAGACUUCCCUUACUCACCUGGUGCAUAUUUGACACCCCAAAUUCCACCAUUAGCUGUGCAUAGCAUUGGGCUCACACUCUGUUUUCUAUUAAAAAUGUAAAGUGCAUGUUAAGUUGUGGUCCAUUUGGAUACUCCCACCCCUAGCACUGAACCUCGCACAUAGUAAGUGGUCAGUUAAUGUCUGUUGGAUUGAAGUACUGGUUUAGCAUACAGUGGUUCAAAGGCCAACUUUCCAACCUGACACUUGGCCAGAAGCAUGUCUGGAGCUGAACUGUGCAUGGGCACAUUCUGGCAAGAAGGUUUUUGUUUUUUUGUUUUUUAAUUAACCACUUUUCCUGCACCUUAUCCUCCACCACUGUCAAUAUGGAUAACUGAGAGUCACAUGCCAAGUGCAGGAAUCAGGUUUUAGAAUAGCAGUUUGUUCUUAUGGCUGCCCAGAAAACAAUGUGGGCUGGGCAAAUAAGGAGUGUUAUUAAAUACCUCCAAGGGGGAGACACUGUUUGUCUAAAUGUGGGUCUUUAUCUCUAAAACAUUGCUACCCCCACCCACUCCUGUUGCCCAUAUGAGCUGGGUUUUUUGAGUCACUGGUGAUGUGUUUUUGAACACAAUGUGGGGGAAGAGCCCCCAUGGGCUGUUCAGCUCUGGCUACGAAAAAUACAAGCUGCGUUUGACUGAAUGACAAAAAGAAAUCUGUUGAGCCAGGAAGCGUAGUAAAUACCGUGACUCUCUGCAAAUGUGCACAGCCCAAACAGCUUUUUCCAGUCUGGAAAAAUGAAGAGAUUUGUCUGUGUGAAACCAGCCAGCACUCUGCCCCUCCUCCCUUUCCACCACUCCACCCCCACCUCCUGGCCCUGCCUCCCACCCUGCCCCAGACAUUCAGUCAUCAGCUUGCAUCCUUUGUGACUUGCUUUGCCCCAGGAAAUAACAUUGCCCAGGCUCCGGGGAGAUACACCCGCCUCUCCCCAACGUCUUUGAGAGAUGUCUGUCUGGUCGGGUUUUGCCAGUCAUUUCUGACCUUGGCCAGCUAUGGCUCACAGUAGAAUUAUCCAGGGGGCAGUGUGUCUGGUGUGUCCUCUUCCUGUGCUUUCCCCUGUUUUGUCCUCCUCCUCUCAACCCACCCCCCCUGCUUUUCCUUUGAAAGAACCUUUACCCCAUCCCUACUCCUGUAGAACAGUGUUUAGAAGGAAGACUUGCCAAAGGUGAGGGUUUACUUUUUUUUAAUUUUUAUUUUUAUUUUUUUGAGAGACAGUGCACGCAAGUAGGGCAGGGGCAAAGGGACAGUGAGAGAGAAUCCCAAGCAGGCUCCAGGCUCAGCACUGAGCCCAACAUGGGGCUUGAUCUCACGACCGUGGGAUCAGGGCCUGAGCCGAAAUCAAGAGUCAGAGGCUCAACCGACUGAGCCACCCAGGCACCCCGAGGUGAGGGUUUUAAAGCAUUCUCUUUAGGCUAGUGCAGAGGGUGGAGGUGGAAUAGGAAAAUUUUCAGUGACUCAAAGACAACCAGAGCCUUGACAACCAUUGGUAGGUAAGGUUUCUAUAUGGGAGGGACUUCCAGAGAAAAUCUGGUCUGCACCUUGCCUUGAAGAUGCAUUUGCAUAGCAGCUAUGCUGUGUUUUCUUUGGUGGUAUGUUUGCAGGGGUGGGUGGAGGGUUGCUGACAAACACUGUGAGGCUGUGAAGACCCACCCACCGGAGCACUACCCCAGAGAACACAUAUCCAAUGGGCGGUUCAGUGUAUUGGAAAGGGCACUGGGAUUGGAAUCAGAGCAAUGGGUUUGAACCUUGGCUUCUAUGAGUAGGGAGUAUUUGUUAUUCACCAUGUCCACAGUGCCUAGCACAAGCCUGCCAACAGCAGGAGCUGUGUUAAUUUUGUGCAGUCAGUGAGUGAAUGAAGGAGCCAAUGACCUUGGAUACUUUUCCACUUUGAGCCUCAGUUUCCUCCUCCAUAAAAAAUAAUAUAAGGGGCACCUGGAUGGCUCCGUUGGCUGAGCAUCUGGACUCUCGAUUUCAGCUUAGGUCACGAUCUCAUGGUUUGUUUGUGAGAUCCAGCCCCACACUGGGCUCUGUGCUGUCAGCGCUGUGUCCCUCUCUCUCUGCCCCUCCCCUGCUCUCACUCUCCAUCUCUCUCAAAAUAAAUAAAAACUUUAAAAAAAUAAUAUAAAAAAUCUGACAUUCUACCUAGCCCACCAGGUGUGUGUGUGUGUGUGUGUGUGUGUGUGAGAGAGAGAGAGAGAGAGAGAGAGAGAGAGAGAGAGAGCAAAAGUAUGAACGUUCUUUGACCUCUGUAAGUUGGCAUUUCGAAGUGAGUUUGUCUCAGGUUCUGUGCUUUACCUUUAGUGUUUAUGUCCUUUAUCAGGAGGAAGGGCCGUACUCCAGAGUGUCCCCUGAACACUUCCUGUUCCAUCCUAUCAUCUGAGGACCUUAAGGACAGGAGGGCACUUUGGAUGUUUUCAGUGAAGUAGUUUAAAUCUGACAACAGUGACUUUUAAGGUUCUCAGCCUUGGCUUCUGGCCACUGCCAUAUCAGUCCCAUACUUGGGCCCAGAACUCCCAGGAACCUCUCCCUGGGAUGGCCUGUGCCUGAGCUCAAACAGCAGAUUUUCAUCAAGCGCUGGGGCUGGUGGGGGAGAGGGAAUCUGCCCCCAGAUCUUUGCCCAUGCUGGUUCCUCUGCCUGAAACACCCACCUUCCCUUUACCUGGUCCAGUACUCGACCUUCAGAUCUCAGCUUAGACCUCAUUUCUUCCAGAAUGUGGUCCUGGACUCCUCCCCUCUGCCUUUCAAGCUUGGCCUCCUCUGUGCCCUCUCCACGUCCACUUCCGCUGUCCAAGUGCUUGCCCGCUGACGUGCAGUCUCCCAUUCUCCUGUCUGCCUCCAUCUUAAACAGUGGGCCCCCGGAGGACUAGGACUGGGCCUUUCCUGUUCAUUGAUAUCAUCUCGGUGCCAGUCCCCCGAGAAGGUGCUCUGUAGACAUAUAAUGAUGAAAUGAACAGCCGUGGUGUGUCGGGGAGAUGGGAGACAGAGACUGAAGUCAGGAAGGUUCCCCUGGGAGGUAUUUCCUGAAGCACAGAAACACUUCUCUACCAAAAUGGCUUGCAUACAAACUAAGCAUGCACAUCCGCACACACCCAGAGGUGCAGGCACACACCCAGCUGCAGGCAGUCGCUUGUGCAGAGCACUUUCCCUUGCUCUGAACCGUCUCUUUGCCGUCCCCUCCCACCCAUCUGCCUCACUCCCUGGGUGGAGGGAAUUACGCGAAUAAAAGAAUCUAAGUGGCAGAGUAAAGGUGGUGCCAGGGAAAGAGAUUCGACGAUCAUACCUCAGCCUGUGACCUUCCUCGUCUCUCAGUGUUCUAGAUUACGUCCCAUUGUAAGGCAGUUCUACUUCUCUCUUUUAGGCACUAUUCGGGAAGACCCCCUAAGCUUUUAAAAACAGCUUAGCACGUGGUUCUCCCAGCUCUUUGGAAUCCUGCCAAAUACAUGUGUCUUUGACAAAUAGCUUCUAGGUCUAUGCCUCAGUUUCCCUCUUAUCUCUCCCACAGCGAUGAGGAACAGAAGCUACCCUUGAAGCGCAAUAUGUUUCUUGGGGGGUUGGGGGAAAGAGCUUCUUAAGUACCCAGAGUCACUGGUCAUGAUUUUGUCAAGUAUGAGAGAAAGGCAGGUGCUAUUUGAUUCUUCUACAGGCAGGUGAAUUUUAAGUUGUUUUCAAAGUCGACUCAAAGGCACCCCUGCGUGGCUCAGUCUGUUAAGCUUCUGACUUCAGCUCAGGUCAUGCCCUCUCAGGUCAUGAGCUCCGCGUCGGGCUCUGUGCGGACAGCUCGGAGCCUGGAGCCUGGAGCCUGCUUCCGAUUCUGUGUCUCUUUCUCUGCCCCUCCCCUGCUCGCGCUGUGUGUGUGUCUCUCUCUCAAAAAUCCAUCAACAUUUUUAAAGAAUUAAAAAAAAACAAAGUUGAUUCAAAUUGGUCAGAGGUGGAGGGAAUGGCUUGCCUUACCCAAAGAGAGGGUUCUGAACUGCCUCAUGAACUGGCCUUGGAGAGGAAGAGAAUUUCUGAAGUGGGUUAGAGGGCUGUUGGUAAGGACCCAAGUGGCAGCAGACGCAGCGUGAUAGGAUGACAAAAGUCGGACAGUGUUUCCUGAGCCCCGGGAAUGGCAAGCAGCCUCACCUCCUCAGUGCGCCCGCCCCACGCAGCAUCAUCUGACCUCCUCCCUGACCUUCCCUGCCACGCGGCACCUUUUGAGGACCUGCCCCCUAGGUCAGGGCUGCACACGGGGCGUUCAGGUGAGCCCUUAGAUUAUGUUUGGCCGAUACUGUCAGCCUUUGCAGUAUUUUUCCUUUCAGUCCAUUCUCAAGUUGGGAGACUUCGUGUAAAAUCCAGAUCUCCCCUUCCUGGGAAAAAUGGAAGAUCUGGCAGGACAGAGCUCACCUUCUUCCACAGCAGUAACCAGCCCGAGGUGAGUAGCUGCAGCCCCUUGUCAGAGAGGACUUGUCGUCUCCAGUCCCCACCUGCCACCAUCCUUUGCUCUUUAAGGCUGACCGGUGUCAGCUGCCUUUUAUGACCUCAGCCCCCAGGCCAGGCCAUUUGUGUUACCUGCUGGGUGGCUGCAGGUGCUAGUGGUCUGUGACCUCUGCCUGGGUGAGGACCUUCUGCCCCCCAGGCCCUAGAUGGUGCAUCGAACUGCCUCUCCCCCCUGGCCCCAGUCCAUGCUGAUGUGUACAGUUUCAGUGCUGAGGGUUGGGCUUUUGCUGCCUGCAAGGAGUAAGGUGCCAUUAUUGUGAGGAAAUAUAAGGCCACGGGCUAAGGAGCAGGCCAGGACCUGUCCCUCCCUCCGCAGAUAAUACACUCCCACUUGAGCAGUAACCUUCCGGGAAUCGUGCCCGCUCGUGACUUUUCUUUUUUCUAUUCUAUUAGUGACUUUCAGAAAGGACAUUUCAGCCAGCUAAAGGGAGCAGAUGGUCCUAUAUCAGGCCUCCUGCAGGCUGAGUACUGGGGGGGGAAUCAGGGCUUUCCUGUGAUUAGUUCUUGUACCUGGUAAGCUUUGAUCUCCCAGGCUAUUGAGGUGUGUUCUCCUAAGGAAGGAAUCAGGCCAUGCUUAACCUUGAUCACUGAAAUCACUGUUCUCCUUGCCCUUCUUUUAUAAACAAGGAAAUUGGAACAGAGCUAAGAGAGGCUUUUUCAUGCACUUUAGGAAAGAAUGAGCAAUGGAAAAAGGAAAUUGAGAGCUUUGGGGAGUUUAUAGGAGAGGAGCAUUUGAGUUUGAAAUAGGAGCUGGGAAUCCAUAUGUUCGGAGGAAAGGAAAGAAAAGAACAGCCACACGCACAGAGCUUCAAGGGUAAGUGCGGAAAUAGUUAUGGGAAAGGGGGCAGGGAAGCCCACGUGGGUCUCCCUUUAUCAGACCCAGAUGUUCAGGCAACAGUUCUCAGGAUGCCCAUGAAAGGGUCCAGAGCCUGCUGUGCUAGACUCAGUGUUUUCUUAACUGCCAAGCAGCACGUGAAAUCGGUGGCCAGGAGCUUUCCACUGCGCACUGCACAACUCCCUGAGGCCCUGUGGGGUCUGUGCCACACCAGUUACACACAGACUGGGCUACCUCUGGACCUGCAAGUGGACAGCCCUGCUUCACCUGGUUCCCCCCUGCCUGCCCACCCCCAUCGAGCAGGGGCUGCCCAACCUGCCUGGGUUGACCUGUGCCCCAGACUGACCUUGGAAGGCAGGACUUGGAAGGCUCGGGUCCACCUGCAUAAAUGACAGCCUCUCCAGCCUUUGUCUUACCAUCUUUAUUAUUAUUAUUAUUAUUAUUAUUAUUUUAACUUAUAUAUGCUGAGAGAGACAGAAACAGCAUGAGUAGGGGAGGGGCAGAGAGAGAGGGAGUCAGAGAAUCCCAAGCAGGCUGCUUCAUGGCCAGCGCAGAGCCCCGCACAGAGCUUGAACUCACGAAACUGUGAGAUCAUGACCUGAGCUGAAACCAAGAGUUGGAUGAUUAACCGACUGAGCCACCCAAGUACCCCAGUUUUACCAUUUUUAAAAUGGGGGUGGGGGGAAUCAUUUGUGAGGUGCAUACAAGAUAUGUGUAAAGGGCUCUGGAAAGAAUAAAACACAAAGCAUGUUUUUUAAGUUAUUCAUUAUACUUUUAAAAAUUACUAUGGAAAAUUUCAAACAUAUGUGCAAGUAGACAGAAUAAACCCUCAUACACCCAUAACCUAGCUUCAAUAAUGAUCAGCUCAUGGCUAAUCUUAGUUCAUCUAUGUCUCUAUCCACUUUCCCCAUCCCCAUGUUAUGCUGAAGCAAAUAUGGAAGAUGUUUGAGAGAUAUCUUCUUAUUUUAUCUCAUUAUCCAACAUAGAUGGCUGACUUGCUCCCUCAACCUGUUGAAACUUAUCCAAUCAUGAGAUGUCCCCUUUUUCCCCUUCCAGAGUGCCACAUCUAGCAUCCCAUCAUGCACUAAGUUCCUCUCAAAGCCACCAUUCCUACAAAACUCAUAUGACCGGUAGCAACACUGGUUGUAAGCCCCUGGAGGCCUAGGAUGUAUUUGUGUUUUGCCAGACUCCAGUAUCUUCAGAAAGAAAGAGCAGAAUUCUAAAAGGUGGAUACGAAAGCAUUGAUCCCUGGAAGUAGAAGAAGAUAUUGGACCAUUUUGAGCCCUCCCAGCCCUUGACAUCAAGUUUAAGCCCUACAGGAAUUGACUAAACUCCUCCUCCUAUUGGUGCUUUGCUUCCAGGGAAGGGGUGCACGGGGCAGAGAACACCAGUGAAUUAUGUCCUCCCCUCAACCACUGGCUGCAGGAGAAUCGAGGCUCUCCUCUCCCAGCAGAUGCCCUACUGCUGACUGAAGUAUAUGAUGCAGCUAUGAGUGUGUCGAGACGCAUUCCUUCUCAAAUCCUGGAGUGGGUAGAAUGCAGGCUCUAGAGACCAGGAGACCUGGUUCAAAUUCAAGAUGAAAUGAGAUAAUGCCAUAUCCAUUAGGGUUCUCUUGGUAACAAGGGACAGAAAAUCCAACCCAAGAUGGCUUUGAGAAAAAAGGGAAUGUGGGGGCUUACCUUAAACUGAAAAGUCCAGGUGUGGUAAUGGGGAUCUGCACCCAAUUUCCAACGUGUGUGUGUGUGUGGUCAGGGGCGUGGGCUUCCCCACAUCACCAAGGAAUUAUCUGAGACACCAGCUAGGCAUCCAGCAAUUCACCCACUUCUGACUGAUCAGCUGUAAAUUGGAGGUUCCCAUGCCCCUUUCCUUGGGUUUGAUGAAUUUGUUCAAGUGGCUCACAGAACUCAGAGAAACAGUUUAUUUACUAGAUUACAGGUUUAUUAUAAAAGGAUAUAACUCAGGAACAACCAGGUGGAAGUGACCCAUAGGGCAAGGUGUGGGGAAAGGGCACAGAGCCUUCAUGCUCUUUCCGAGCUCACCAGAUUUCCACAUGUUCACCAGUCUAGAAGCUGUCCAAACCCAGUCCUUUUGGGGUUUUGUGUAGCCUUCAUUACAUAGGCACAAUCGAUUAUAUCAUUGGCCGUUGGCGAUUGAUUCAGCCUUCAGCCUCCCACCCCUGUAACUUUCCUGGAGGUCAGUAGUUGGGACUGAAAGUUCCAACCCUCUGAUCACAAGAUUGGUUCUGCUGGCAACUAGCCUUUCCUCAGGUGCUUUCCAAAAGUCACUCAUUAACAUAACAAAAGACCCCUCCUCUCCGCUCUCCUUUUUUUCUGUCAUCUCAGGGAAUUCCAUAGGUGUUUUAGGAGCUGUAAGCCAGCAACUGGUGGCCAAAUACCAAAUAUAUACUUCUUAUUAUAAAUCACAAUAUCACAGGUGGACAUGGCUGGUGUUUGGGGUUCAACUGUUAAAAUCAGGACUUGGUUUCACUCUACUUCUUGGCUUCAGAUUUGUUUCAACUUUAGUUUUGGGUUAGUGGGGUAACAAGACAGCAGCAUCAGGCUUAGCCCCUGGACCCUUUUAGGAUUUCCACAGAGAAUCUCUUUUCCAAAAGUCCUAGCAAAAGUCUCAUGGACCUGGAUUGGGUCACAUAGCCAUCCCUGACCACAAUCAUUGUGGCCCAGGAGCAUGAGGCGCUCAUCUGCUUAGGGAGUGUCACUGGAUCUAUUAGGACAGAGAGGGUGGGGGAGGGGUGGUCCCCUGGAAUGAACUUGCAGAGGGGGUUGGGCGUAGUCACACCAAUGCGAAAUGCGGGUGGGUCAGUACUGGUGACAAAACUAAAGACCUUGAGUGCAUUAUGAAAGCUCAUAAAAUGAUAAUUCCCUUCUAUCUCAUGGAGACUUUUUUAUUCCUUUUCAAAUAAGUUCUACAUAUUUGAUCUCCUGUCAGUCCUGUGAGGUCGACAGGAGUACAAGUAGUAUCUUCCCACAUUACAGAUGAGGAAAUCAAAGCACAGAGCAGGUAAAGACUUUGCCCACAGUCACAAAGCAAGGUAGUACGGACUUGCCCUAGAAUCCCACAGAGACACAGAGGGCUCUGAAUUGCCUGCCAGAUCCAGUAGAACUGGCCACUGGGAUAUAUAGGGUCUGACAUGGAGUUUAUUUAUAUCAGCUGCCUGGGUUUUCCCCUGAGUUAGCCAGCUAGACUGGUAGCACUGUGGGUGGUCAAGUAUCCAUUGUCGGUGCCCUCCCAGGUGGCUAGGGAAAGAGCUGGUGCCCAGGCCAAGAUGCUACCACCCACCCCAGGGAAACCCUCUCACAAUUGAUUCCCUUUACACUGGGCAACUGUGUGCAAGACUUGGUUUUCCUCGUCCUGGCAAAAAAAAAAAAAAAAACGUGAGGUUGGGGAGGCACUGCUAGUGACAAGGGAAAUUGAUCCUCAAGCCAAGACGUGGAGGGAGAGCAGCAUCCCCUGGUCAGAGGGGAGUGGUUUGGCCAGAGUUGUCAGGGUCGUCCUAAGCGCUGUUGGGAUCUCCAGAGCCUUCCAAAAAACAGCACGCCUCUCCCGCAUCCAGGUUCCUAACACAACGAAUAAAAAGACAAAGGAAUGGCAGAGAGCCAAAGUACCGUCUUAAUUGUCACUAAAGCCAGCAUGGAGGAUGUAGCUUAGUGUGAGCACAAAAGUGACUUCCUAAGGGAGCCUAGAAGGAUGGAGAGAGCAGAUCUUCACGGACAGCCUUCCCAAGUUUUCCCCCCAUCAGGCAAGUCGUUCCAUUGCCGUGGACAGUGAGAGUAGAGAUAAAAAAGUUUUAGGGAGGGGCGCCUGGGUGGCGCAGUCGGUUAAGCGUCCGACUUCAGCCAGGUCACGAUCUCGCGGUCCGUGAGUUCGAGCCCCGCGUCGGGCUCUGGGCUGAUGGCUCAGAGCCUGGAGCCUGUUUCUGAUUCUGUGUCUCCCUCUCUCUCUGCCCCUCCCCCGUUCAUGCUGUGUCUCUCUCUGUCCCACAAAAAAUAAAUAAACGUUGAAAAAAAAAAAUUAAAAAAAAAAAAGUUUUAGGGAAAAUCCCUCCUCGUGGAAACCAGAAGCAGGGAAAGGCACGGGACUUUGGCAAGUUAUUAAUCUCUCCGGGCAUGGUUCUCUUCUUGGGUAAAAUGGGCAUAGUAACAGUAUCUCCCUCGCGGGGAGGCAGUGAGCGUUCAAAGCGGUAAUGUGUAUGACCGCCGUGGCGUGUGGAAAUCCCUCAGCGAAAGCUGGCUGUUUCUGUGUACAGGCCAGGUUCAUGGCAGGUGGCCUUGCUUGUCUCUCCAGCAUGAAGCCCAGGGCCCCUGGGCCCCACUGUGCUUGUGCAGCUCUCUCCAGCUGUAAAAAUUCACGCGAAUCUAGGUGAGCAGCGGCUUUUCAGUUCUUGGCUUCUUCCCAGGCUGUGUUCUCCCACUUGGGGGGGCAGAAGGGAUGGCAGACAUCCUCUUCACAGUGGUGAAUGCCACUGCCACCACCCCAUGCCCCGUUCCAGCAGAUCCUGGCUCAAAGUUCAAAGCCAAGGUGGCUUUGUUGAGUAAUUUGGUGACACCGCCUGCCCACCCGCCAUCUGAGGGUAAGUCUCCCUCCCACACACCCAUUUGCUAAGCAUCUGCUGCCCUGUGUUUUGUGGUGUGGAGGCUGGGAACAGGCAGGCCGCCCCAGCUGACCGCGGUGAGGCUGAGCUUCCUUCCCCCCCCCCCCCCCCCCCACCCCCUCCCCUGCUGCCCUUGGGCUCAGUCGCACACACUUCUCAGUCCCGCGAAGUGGGGUUUCAGAUCCGCUCCCAGGCUGGUUGGCGUUGACUGCAUCUGGAUUCACACCAACCUCUUCCUCCUGGGGGUUCAGAGUGUUCUUGGAAGGAAGCCUGGGAAGGGAAAGGCCUUCCCCAGCAUUCCCCAUGCCGCGGCUGGCUGACAGCAUAGACGGGAGCUGCCAAGAGCUGCAGAGGCAGACAGACCUGAGUUCAAAUCCCUGGGUGACCUUGGGCAGGCUGCUCUCUGCUUCAGUUUCCUCAUCUGUAAAAAAUGUGAUAGUAACAGGAUCUGUCUCACGAGAUUAUCGUCAGGAUUCAGUGAGAUACCGACUGUGGAGCAUUCACCCCACAUCUGGCACGCGGGACGUGCUCAAGAGAUCGUAACCCUUGACCAUCGGUGGGGUAUCCUCUGACUUCCUGUGGGGGUACUCACGGAGAGGAAGUGGGUGCCAUCUCCUUGGGCCCGCCCCACUUCCCACAUUCAACCCCUACCGUAGUUACUCCAGUGGGACCAAACAGAUUUGAUUUUAUGCAAAAGUCUCAUUUGUCCAGUAACUCCCAUGCCUGGUGUGGUGCCUGGCACCUAAACAGCACUAAAUGUUUGCAGUAGAAGAAACGGAAGAUAAAGGGCAAGGGAGUGUCUGGCAGGGAGCGUCUAUUCUCGGACUGCUUUCUGAGCCCUAGGCUGUUCUUCUUGCCCCUUACCCAUCCUUCCUUCCUCCUUCCUUCCUUCCUUCUCUUCUUCCUCCCUCUGUGCACCCUUCCUUCCUCCCUUCCUUCCUUCCUCCCUUCCUCCCUUCCUUCCUUCCUCCCUUCCUCCCUUCCUCCCUUCCUUCCUUCCUCCCUCCCUUCCUUCCUUCUUCUCUUCCUCCCUCCCUUCCUUCCUUCUUCUCUUCCUCCCUCCCUUCCUUCCUUCCUCUCUUCCUCCCUCCCUUCCUUCCUUCCUCUCUUCCUCCCUCCCUUCCUCUUUUCCUCCCUCCCUUCCUCUCUUCCUCCCUCCCUUCCUCCCUUCCUUCCUUCCUCCCUUCCUUCCUUCCUCCCUUCCUUCCUCUCUUCCUCCCUCCCUUCCUUCCUCCCUCCCUUCCUUCCUUCCUCCCUUCCUCCCUCCCUUCCUACCUUCCUCCCUCCCUUCCUUCCUUCCUUCUCAUCUUCCUCCCUCCCUCCCUCUCUCCCUCCUGACCUCCCUUCUUCAGACCUUUCUUUUUUCUCAGAAGGAACUAGCUUCCUUCUUUCCUUUCUUUUUGUAAUAUCCAGGCUGCGAGAGCGUCCCUUGAGAGCCCUUCACCCAGCAGAGAGCUGUGAUUCCUCUUUCAAAUUGAGUCUGUCCCCUGACUCAUUCAUUAAAAUGCAAAGGGCAUGUGACCAAACUGCAUAAUGAGUCUCUCAUGAGGAAGGCUCCGAGGGAAGAGGCCGGCAGAUGCUGCCAACUGCAAGGCAAACGUUACCCCCCCCCCCCCCCCCCCCCAGCCGAGGAUCAGGCUCAUUGGCCGCCAUGCCCUGGGAAGGCUGGGGGCUGCCGUUCAUCUCCAGUAAAUCAGCCAAGCCCUGGAGAGCUGCAGCCUGGCGCGGGCUGUGCAGUCUUGGAAGCUGUGUUGCUUUGGAGAGUCCAGCCCAUGACCUUUUCUCAACCUUCCCCCACUCUUGCUGUUUUACUCUUCCAUUUAUUUCAAUAUAUUUUUUUAACUACCCGAGUAAUACGUGAAUAUGUUCUAAUCAUAAAAAAUUCAAACAUACAAGCAAGCCCCCUUUAACAACUCCUCGAUCCCGCUACCCCUCUCCAAGACAGCCUUCCCGUCGUGCCCCUCUUUGCCUUCCAAGGUUUUGGCUGCUCCGUCACAACCACCCCAGGAAGGCGACGUGGGGGCCCAAACACCCUUUCGCCCUCCUGAGGUCCUAAGCCAGUUCUCUACAAAGCUGUCAACAUGCAUCUCGGACACCUUAUCAGCCUGCUUCGUGGCCAAGUCCCCUGUCUGCCAUGUCACUGCCACUCACCCAGGGACCCCGCUGAAUCCCAUCCCUGCAGAAGAGCCUUACUGUCUGCACCACAGAAGCCAGAUUAUUCCCUGAUUCGAAAGUUAGGUUUAACUGCUUUCCAGAGGCAUCUGCAAUUUCACAUUGGAGUCCAGAAGAGUGAAAAAGGUGGCAAAAUCCAGUGAUCCUCAUGGCCGCCUCUCAGGCGCUAAGACCUCUUGAGCUCCACUUUUGGGUGGUGAGCCUCUCUGAACCCACCAAUUCAUUUCCCUUGGGUAACAGCCUAUCCCACUGUGGCCUUGGGAAAAUCACUAACUUCCCUGAAUCACGUUAACUCCCCUGCAGAAUGGAAAUAACGCUAGUACCUCCUUCAUUGGGUUGUGAAGUUUAAAUGGAAUUAUCUAUAUGAAGCCGUCAGUAGGACGCCUAGUGGCUCAGUCAGUUAAGCAGCUGACUCUUCAUUUCAGCUCAAGUCAUGAUCUCACGGUUUGUGAGUUUGAGCCCCGUGUUGGGCUCUGCACUGAGGGGACAGAACCUGCUUGGGAUUCUCUCUCUCUCUCUCUCUCUCUCUCUCUCAAAAAUAAAUAAAUAAACUUAAAGAAGUCUUCAGUAUUUUGCCUGUCACAUGGUCAAAGAUGCAGUUAAUGUUAGUAAUCGUCAUGACUAUCAUGAUUUUUACUCUGAUCUGUAAUACUCCCAAUUCAUUCAUUCAAGUAUUUUUACUGAGUACCUACUAUGUGCCAGGCACUGUUCUUGAUCCUGGGAGUAUAGCAGUGAAUGAUUCUGACACAUUUCUGGCCCUCAGUGGGUUUAUUCUAGCACAAAUGUAUUGCACCCUUCUGUUUGAUAAGCACUUUGCCUCCUAUUAUGUCACGUGGUCCUAACUAAUGUCUUCAAGUCCGGCAAAGGCAAUAUGAGUGUCCCCAGUGUACAAAUAGAAAGCCACAGGAGAAUUAAGCUAAUGGAACAGCUAGAAACUGAACCAGCUACGACCUGAUUGGGGGUCUUUCUGACUCCAGUUUCUGUGCUCUCUUGCAGUGGGCACUGAUGAUUAUUCUCGGGUGCAGAAAUAGGGGGCAUGAAAGCAGUUCCCCAAGCCCUGACUCCACCAGGAGAAGCACAGAAAAGAGGUGGAACUACCCUUUGUGUGCCUCUGAGAGCCCUGGUUGGUUCUGUCCACGAGGUGAAUCAGUCAACUGGCCUAACCAAGUAUCCCUCUGCCUGGUGCUAGUCUCAGAGGCCUGGAGGAGAUUUUUUUUUUUUUUUUUCCCCCAAUGAACAAGCACUUCAGCCUGUAGCCUAUGGGGCCUGGCUGUGACAGCUGGCUCCUCAGAGGUCUGAGAGCACUUCCCCCUGGGGUUCUUACGGCAGGAGAGGAUGGCUCGGACUGUGGGUUCAGUGACCAAAAUGCAUCUUCCUGGGGAGGCACCCGGAACUCCUAGCUGUAACAGGGUUCUCUAUGCGUACCCAGUGUCCUCCCCGGUCAGAGCUGGGCAGAGCAGAACUGGCCCUGUCUGAGAACACCAUGCAGAGGAACUGGAAGUCUGUCUUGGGGAACGUGGCAGGGGUAGGCCUGGCAAAGAUCCCAGGGAGAGGGCACUGUGGGCCGGCCACUGUACAGAGAGACCCAUGACCUAAAUAGGGCUCAGCCAGGGCAUUUCCCUGACCCCAUCAUGGUGACAGCUCACCCCUCCCCUCUGACCACACCUGUGGUCUAUAGUACUAUAGACCUGUAUAGACUAUACACAAUAUUUAGUACUAUAGUACUAAACCUGUACAGCAACAUGUGACUGAUGAAGGGGUCCCUACCUCCAAGGUCACCUCUGCCUACUCCUCAUGGGAACACACACACCCCUGCCCUUCUUUAGAGGUAAAUCCCCUUUACCUGCCUUCUCUCUGGACAUGCCUACACCCUUCUGAAGUAUACUCUGUAUCUGUCCCAUGACUAGAUUUCUGUUCUCUUUCUUAAUUGAAUCUACGCACACAGGAUUAGUCAUGCUCUGAUAGAUGACAUUCUUUCAUCUUACGCUGGACCUUGCACAAGGUUAUUUAUUAUUUAUCUAUGUUUCCUUAUUUGUUUACAGUAUAGUAAACACCAUGAACCCACCACCCGUUCUUCCACUGUGUUCCUGACCUUCCCUUCACUCUGCCUCCCUCACCACAUCCUGAAUCUUGAGUUUACCAUUCCUUUGCUUUUCUAAGAAGUAUUCUUAUUUAUUAUAUUUUUCUAAAAGGUGUAUUGUGUGGAUUUCAUGUUUUUACCUUAAGAGAAUAUCCUGUUCUAUAUAGCUUUCUGGAAUAUACUUUUUUCUCAUGAUAUUAUAUUGCUAAAAGUCACCCAUACUGUAUCAUAGAGCCAUGGUCCAUUUGUUUUCACUAUUAUAAUCAUCUCUGUUAUGUUCCACAUGUGUCUAUUUAUUCUCCUGUCCCUGGACGUUUGAGUUGUUACCAGCUUUCCUCUACUUUGAAUGUAUAGAGCUGAACAUUCUUGUACAUGUCUCUUGGAAAACAAUGUGAAUGUAGCAAUUUAUAAUCCCACCAACAAGUAUAUAAAGAUCCUAUUGGUCCAUGUCCUCUCUAACACUUGGCAUUAUCAGACUUUAUAAUGUUUUCCAUCUGAAAGGUUACUAAGUGGUAUCUCAUUGUGGUCUAUUCAUUUUUAUUGGCUAUCCAAAUAUGGUUUACAAUGAUCAAUGGUGAGGUGCGGAUCAUCCCACAAGGGAUCCAUGAGGAUUUCAUGAAGCACACAGUAUGCUUGCAAAGCCUCUCCCAAUUAGGAUCAUGCCAUUGUCUUGUCCAGCUCUGGGUCCCUGGUAGCCAGCAGAAGGCUGGGUACCUCAUCAUUACCAUCAUUAUCAUCAUCAAAACAACAACAAAAAUAGUAGGUCACACUUACUGUGUGCUUACUAAGUGCCAGGUGCUAUGCUAAAAAAUACCUUUCUUUACUUUUAUUAUCUCAUGUAAUUGUUCUGGAAACCCUAGAAGGUAGAUUCUGUACUACUCCCAUAUGAAGACGAGAGACUAAUAUUAAGCAUCUUUCCUAGAGUCACACAAGUGGUAAAUGGUGGAGCCAGGAUCCAAACCUUGGCAUUGGACACCUGAGCCCUUAGCUCCUCUGUUACAGGUGUCCAAUAAAUACUUGAACGAGGCACCUUUACUUGCCCAUAGCCAGAGGCAGGGUCAGAUGCCAUAGCACAUUUUAAUUUCCUGUCAACUAUAUUUAAAAUGCAACCACAUUUUGGUUAUAAACAAAGCUUAAUGUUUAUAAUUUUACUCCAGUCGAAGGUAACUCAUUUAGUUUAUGAUUGGUUAAAAUUUCUUGGUAAUCAUUACCCAGAUGGAGAACUCUCACUGUGAGAGAGAUCUAAGGUACAAAUUAUUCUCAAAUAUCAUGGGAUGCUAUGAAUUCCUCCUUUCCCAACAAUUCCCCUGAAAUUGUUGCUCUGUUUUUUCUCUCUUUUUUUUUUUUUUUUUCAACGUUUAUUUAUUUUUGGGACAGAGAGAGACAGAGCAUGAACGGGGGAGGGGGAGGGGCAGAGAGAGAGAGGGAGACACAGAAUCGGAAACAGGCUCCAGGCUCCGAGCCAUCAGCCCAGAGCCUGAUGCGGGGCUCGAACUCACGGACCGCGAGAUCGUGACCUGGCUGAAGUCGGACGCUUAACCGACUGCGCCACCCAGGUGCCCCUGUUUUUUCUCUUAUCAAUCACGCUUAUUAUCUCUAACAUACCAUAUAAUUUGCUUAUUAUUGUGUCUUACUAUUGACACCCAGGGCAGGAAUAUUUGUCCACUUAGUUCUGUCUGUAUCCUUAAUUGACUUAGCACUUGUGUAUCCCUUGUGCCUAAAAUUGUGCCUGGCACAAAGAAGCAGUUCAACAAAUAUUUGCUGAAUGAAUGGAAUAAAUGUAUGCUUCCAGGAAUGGAUGAAUGAAUGGAUGGAUGGAUGGAUGGAUGGAUGGAUGGAUGGAUGAAUGAACCAAUGCAUACUAAAUUGAACAGUUAAUGAAGAUUGACUCUGUGAUUUUGUUUUGUGGUUUUAUCUUUUCAUUUUGGAGCCAAUAAUUUUUUUCAGGCUUCAGGUUUCAAACAUUUCUGUGAUCCUAGGAGGCCUGAGAUUUCAUGCCUGUGUACCUAAAGGAUAAAAAGAUCCUGAGAUCCGAAACAAUGUCUCAUUGCCUUUUCCUUUAUCUCUUAGAAACCAACAUCAACAACGAGCAGCCUGCCUCAAAUGAGACUAUUUGGCAAUGAGGCAGGAGGCUCUUAAAAAGAAAACAAGGCAAAACAAAACAAAAAAUUCCUGUUGGCUUUAAUAUAGCAAUUUCUCUAGCAAUGUACAUGGAUGCUCAGGUCCAGAGCAUCUGACAUAUGUGUAACGGGUCCGAACCCCUGGCUGUUAUUCUUAUUUCCAAACUGGGGUGCACUAGAUAAAUGCAGGAAUCAGGAACCAUCCCUCCUAGUCAAGCGUCUGUGGCUCGGUUCCCAGAGCCGGGCCAAACGGGUAAUUAUAGCUUCCCUCUGUGGUGUACAGGGCAGGAGGCUGAUUUAGUAAAGGAAGCCUGCUGUCUGUCUCCAGCCUGGCUCUGACUCAUGGAACCAGGGAGUCCCAGAAGCGCUGCCCACAGAGGGUGGUGAGCAGCUGGGGGGUGGGAGGUGAGGGUGGCCAGCUAGCAAGGCUGAAAGCCCCGAGAAGGAGGAAACUCCCUGCUUGGCCUGGAAGAACCUGCAGCUGGAGCCAGAGGAAGUGAGGCUCAGACAGAGCAGCUGCUGUUCCAGCAACCGCUCAGCCGCUGCUGUGCCCUGGGAAGGAGGCCCCUGCCGUGCAGAGAUGUAAAAUAAAAUGGGUUCGUAAUUCUCAUAUUCAAAAUUAAUUGGGGGGAAAACCCGAAUUGCCUCUGACUAGAGACGGCUGCCUUUUGUUCCAUACACCAGCGGCUUUGGUUUCUUUUAGGGGGGCUGGGCCUUUGGAGUCUGGAGUGAUGAGCAUUCUGUUCAUUUGAUUUCCCUCUUUGGCAGCCGAGGCAGCUAAUUGGGGCUUUACAAGCCACAGAGGCAGAUUGACCUGGGAGAGGCUUCAGCUACACGGAGGGUAACAGGCCACUCCGGCGUGCACGUAGAUGCCACCUUAGAUAGGUCACCAGAGGUCAUUUACCCUUCCUUCUGUCUCCAGCAGCUUCUUCCUCCUCCCCUGACAGGCAGCCAGACUUGACAGGCAGCCAGACAGAGACAAUUUGACCUCCUCCUGCAGGCCUCUGGGCCAGGAGAUUCCGGGUCCCACCCCUUUCCUUCCCGCUGAGUCACCCACCUCCCAGUCAGGUGAUCCUCCCCUGGGCCCUUCUGAGAGCACCUUGACCUAUAUUGCAAACACUCCAUUACAGCAGAUUCUAAUUGUCCCACGAGAGGGCCCGCCAGGCCAGCGGGCACGGGGCCCGAGUUUCGCUGGGGGCAGCCCCAGGCUGCAGACGAGGCCCCCGUGGGCAGUGGGAGGAGGCACUCCCACUCUGUGAACAAGAACAACACCAGACAGGCCUGAAAAUGGAAAGUUGGGAGGUUGGAGGCUGUGUGCAGAGCAGGGGCAAAUGGGGUGGUGAUCUGGGCCAGGCCCUGACUGAGCAGACUGCUGGGGACCAGUGGUGAGGGACAGAUGCAGUCCCCCUCCGGGGCUGGGGGAUGUUGCGCCUAGGGAAAGGGGAGAGGUGAGAAACCAUGCAAAUCGAGGCAUAAACCUAGAUGACUCAUCCAGAUCGUCCCAGCCGAGAAAAAGCUCCCCCAGACAGGGAGCGAGUUCUUGCCCCAAAAUUAGCCACAAAGUGGCCUCUACUGAUGUUGUCUAUGGGUUCUUUGUGCCGUGGUUGCCUGGGCAGUCUUUGUGUCCUUUGGAUGUGAGGGUAAUGGGGAGGGAGUGGGGGAGCUGUAGGAAAGGAAUUAAAAGGGAAGUGUUCAGAGUCAAACAUUAAGCCUCAUCCUUGGGCAUCAAGCCUGUACAAAGCGGUAUUAACUGAAGAUUGCAGUUCUGUGGAAUUAGAAUGGGCGCUGAACUUGGAGCCUUUCUUCAAAGCCUGACCUUCUCGAUUCGUAGCCCUGUGACCUUGGCAAGGCACUCUAGGCCUCAGUCUUCAAUCUGUCUUAUGGGGGUUUUGAUAAAACCGCAUUAGAUCAGAUGGUUAUGAGCAUUCGCUCAGAUGAUGUGUGUAAACAAAUUAUAUCAAUUAUAUGUAAUUGUGCGUAGCUAUGUGAUAUUCUUUUCUCUAGAUUGUUAAGCCCCUUCCCACUCCCAUCUGAGAGGAUUAUUUUAUUUGUUGACUGUCCCAAACAUAAAAGAGUCUGCUUCUGGGUAUGUUUACAAAUGUAAAUAGCAAACCCUAGCCUGAGUGUAACAGCCCCACAUAGCGUGUUUACGCCUCACCCACAGGUUGGUUAUACAUGGUUUUAUUCUUUUAUAUCAAGAAAAGCUAUGCAUCUGUACAGUGGAGUAAAGUCCUAUUUUUAAACCAGACUGUAAACAUAUAAAGUUACUGCCUGGUGCACAGUGGAUGCUAGAUAUCAGGGUAGGUGCCAAUGAGAUGGAUGGAAGGAAAGAGGGGCAGAAAGGGGGAAGGGGUAGAAGGAGGAAAGAAGUUAGAGAAAGGUAUAGGAGGAGAGCUGGAUUUACCAAGACGCUAAUUAUGCUUGAACUUCAGGACGCUUCACUUACAUGUGUCCCUUCCAAGGCCUGGUACCUAAUUUUUAAUUCAUGUAUUCCUUUCCUAAAGAGAGCCCUUUGUACUGUAUUCUCUUCAGGCGCCACCAAACCUGGAUCUGCCCCUUUACAGAAGGUCUCUGAGAGACCCACCCCUUGUUCAUGUUUAAGAUUCAUAAGCACAAAAGAGGGGCGCCUAGGGGCUCAGUCGGUGAAGCAUCUGACUUCGGCUCAGGGCAUGAUCUCACAGUUCAUGGGUUCGAGCCCUGCAUCAGGUUCUGUGCUGACAGCUUGGAGCCUGGAGCCUGCCUUGGAUUCUGUGUCUCCGUCUCUCUCUGCCCCACCCCCUCGCACUCUGUCUCUCUUGCUCUCAAAAAUAAAUAAAUAGAAACAAAAUGAAAAAAAGAAAGAUUCAUAACACAAAAGAAACACAGGUGGUGUAGGGGAUGUGCACCUUCAGGUUGUCUUCACCAUGAACCCCAAAUUCCAAAUCUGGAAUUUGCAGGACGAUCCCCAUAUAGCCAGGCAAGAGGAACACCAUAAGGAAUGACAUGGAGGAAGAGGGUGGAGGUCAGGACUGGGCAGAAUUAUAGGACCAAUUCCAACUUCCAGAAUCUACUCUGGUGCUUCCUGGACUCCUCAGUUCCCAGGCCUUGAAUCUCGUUGCACAGCAUGGGGCAGUGCAGAAAUGGUGGCUUGCAAUCUGGAAUUCUCUCCCCAGUCCUGACUAGUCUUCCCUAGCCCUCCUCACUAACCAGCUGAAUCUCUCUGGGCCUAAAUCUCUGUACGUUUAAGAUUGUGGCAGGUGAGGGGCGCCUGGGUCGCUCAGUCAGUCAAGCGUCCGACUUAGGCUCAGGUCAUGCUCUCACCAUCCGUGAGUUCAAGCCCCACAUCAGGCCCCAUGCUGACGGCUCAGAGCCUAGAGCCUGCCUCAGAUUCUGUGUUUCCCUCUCUCUCUGACCCUCCCCUGCUCAUGCUCUGUCUCCCUCUGCCUCAAAAAUAAACAAACAUUAAAAAAAAUUUUUUUUUAAAUAUUGUGGUAGGUGAUUUCAGAGCACCUCACUUAAACUGCCUUGUCCACCACUGUAUUCCCAUGAGUACAGUGUCUAAUAAUUGUUGUUUUAUAUUAAUGGCAAGAAUUUACAUAGUGCUUAUAGAUGGGAAACCUGAAGUGCCAAGCUGUUGCCUAUGCUGCCCCAGGUCAGCUGACUAGUAAGUGUCAGAGCUGUGAUUCAAACCCAAGCAGUCUGGCCCCAUAGUCCCCCAUUCCCAAUCACUCUACUGUAUGCUCAAUAAAUAACUAAUAGACUUUACUUUUUAGAAAGGUUUUAGAUUUAGAGAAAAAUUGAGGAGAUAAACACAGUUUGAUGAAUGAAGUCAGUCAAUGAAUGGAGUCCCUUGAUUGAGACCAUGAUUCAUCACCCAGAGGACAUAGGUAGGUACAUGCCCAGCAUUUCGUACAGGUUGCUCACUUCAUUUUCAUUGUUAAGUAGGUAGCAUUCACCCUAUUUUGCCAUGAAAACACUAAGGCCCAGAGAGGUUCAGUGGCUUGCACUAGGUCACACAGCAGAUGAAGGGUUAGGACUAGAACAUUCUGAUAUGUCUGACCCUAAAGACCACAUUUGCCCCUGUGAAAACUUCAUAAUCAUCAUCAAAAGAUAUUUUGUCUUAUAUUUAUUAACCUAACACUCGUUUCUAGUGCCUUGCAGUUUUAAAAAUACUUUGUAUCCUUUUUUUUUGGGGGGGGGUUGCUUUUGGUCUACUGCCUAGGAAGGUAGGUGAGGCAGUGAUCACGAUUCCGUUUUAUGAAGGAAACUAUAAGGUCAUAUGAUAAGUGUUGAGGUAGGAUCAGGAAUGAAACAUAAAUAUAUUGACUCUUAAUCCAUGGUCCUUCCUUCUCACUCAAGCUUUCCUCCAUUAUAAAGCACUUCAUUAUACAUCAACUCAUGCUAAGCCCUCACAGAGGAAAUACCUUCCUUGUUAGAUAUGAGCCCUCAAGGGGUUGCCCCUCUUCCCAGGGGUCUGUCAAGAGAGUUUUUCCAAACUCUAACCUUUGACUGCAUGUAAGUCCUUUUGUACAAGUUUGGCAUUUUACCUGAUCUGUUGCCAAAGCAUGGAAGUAAUGGGUUGACUGUGACAUUUUCUUUUUUUCCCCCAUGUAUUUAACCAACACAAGGGAGAGUUGGCCAUUUUCAGUUAAAAAGGCUGUGUCUUUUCUUUUUUUAAUUACUAAAUGUUUUUAUUUAUUUUUGAGAGAGAGAGAACGCACACUCAAGCUGGGGAGAGUCAGAGGGAGAGGGAUAGCAGAGAGCCCGACGUGGGGCUUGAACUCACGAACCACGAGACCAUGACCUGAGCCAAAGUUGGACGCUUAAUUGAGUGAGGCACCCGGGUGCACCAGGUUGUGUUUGAUUCUGAUGAUAGUCAGAGGCUGCAUUGCCAAUGUUGGAAGCCCACUUCAUGAUGGCAGCAAAGAAAGGAUUUCCACUCUGCCCUUGACUCUCAGGCCAAUGUAACUAUACCUCUGAAGCAAGCAAAUUAUCUUUGGCACUUCCCAUUACUUGACAGCCUCUACCCAGAGCCACCCAACUUAUUACCCCAGAGCAGAGGGUCAUGGUGGUUUAUUUAUUUAUUUAUUUAUUUAUUUAUUUAUUUAUUUGUUUUUGUCUGGGGCCCGGGGGGGGGGGGGGGGGGGGGGGGGGGGGGGGGGGGGUUUUUUUUUUUUUUUUUGGGGAGGGAGGGUGCGGGGGUUGGUUUUGUUUGUUUGUUUUGGGUUUUUUUUUUUUUUGUAAUUUUAUUUUGAAAAACUUUCAAACCUACAGAAAUGGUACAGGAAUGUUACAAUGAGCUCUCUUUUCUAUAGCCCCUAGAUUAAGCAGAGCUUAAUUUUUAAAAUCUCAUUAAUGAAAUUUUCUUUUAAAAUACUGAUUUUAUCGCUUUUGAGAAGGAAUUACAUUUGUUUGACUCAAAAUUCCAAAGGAUUAUACAGUGAGGAAUCUUCCCUAAACCUUGUUCCCCAUUACCCAGGGCCUUUUUCUACAAGAAGCCAAUGCUUCAGUUUCUUAUGUACCUGUCCAAAGAGAUGUCAUAUGUACACAAGGAAAUAUGGUUGUGGGGCACCUGGCUGGCUCAGGCCAUAGAGCAUGCAACUCUUGGUCUCAGGGUCGUGAGUUCAAGCCCCACAUAGGGUGUGGCGCCUACUUAAAAAAUUUUUUUUUAAUUUAAAGAAAAUAUAGUUGUAUGUAUGUAUUCUUGUUUUGCCUUUCCACACCCCACCCACCCCAUACUUUAUUAUUCUACACCUUGGAUUUCUCAUUUGAAAUAACUCUAAUUCAGAUCAGAAACAGUGUUCUCAUUUAAAAAAAAAAUUUUAUUGUGUUCCAUUGUGUGGGUGUUCCCUUAAUUUGGUUAACCAGGCCUGGCCUCCAAGCUGGCCACUGAGGUUGUUUUCAAACAUUUGUUAUUGCUGCCCAGUAGUACACCGAAUGACCUUUGUUAUUCUUGAGAAUAGUUUGCAACUUUGAGUAAAGACCAGAAUUGAAAUGCUAUGAGAUUAUGUCUGGGGAGUUUCAUCAGUUCAGGUGCUUAGAAGGUAGAUCACUUCCUCAUCUCUGUGCUAUACUCCUUUGAUCUGGGGGACUGGAAACCCAAUCUUACAUGCCCUGGACCCAAACAUCUUCACUGGUGAUACCUCUGGUCACAAAGGUGAUAAAAACUUUUCUCAAUAGGUUAUUUUCUGGUGCUGAAAUGGCCUGUUUCUCACUGUUCUCCUGAGCCCACUUUUGGCCAGCACAUCGGCCUGUUAGUUCAGUCCAGGUAGCACAUACACUUUGCCACUGUCAAUCGAACCUGGUCCGGGAUCCAUCAGUCCAUUUGCGUUCUGACCUUGGUGCUGGGUUAGAACACUUGAACGAGAAGUUCAGGUUUCAUAAUGUUUGCAUUUGGGAAAUAAACCCACGUUUCCCACGUGUGCUGUUUGAGGAAUCCCAAGAAGCAUAGCAAAACGGUAUAAACACCAACCAAAAAACACAAUGCGGGGCUCUUUCUCCAAGGACAGCAAGAAGGCGGGGCUGCAGAGUUAAGUAGCCAGGAACAUUUUCUGCUUCCUUUUCAAAUGACGUCUUAUUGCACGUAUUCACUAGGACAUGUUUCAGAUAAAGGACUGAACUCCAUCAUUGUUAGCUCAGAGGAAAAGAAGAAAGUCUCAGAAUCUAGUUAAAGAUGCACCUGCUUUACUAUAUACACACACCACCACCACCCCACACCCUACACCUUACAUAUGGUGUGGCUAUAUUGUAGCAUUUUGGGGGGGGAAGGGGGGAAGGUCAUCUCAUUCAGUGUCCUGCUUCCCAGAUGGGCCGCUCGACAUCUGUUCUAGAUUUUUUUUUUUAAGAAUGUAUUUCACAUUUAAAAAUAUUGAGGAAAAGAAAUAUAUAUGUCUGUUCCAAAAUAUAUGUACAUAAAGGAAAGGCAGCAUCACAACUUUUGAGAUAGAUCCCUUCCAGCUUUUAAAUCUGUAGUCAGUCUCAUCAUUAAGAAAUGCUACUUCUGGGGCGCCUGGGUGGCGCAGUCGGUUAAGCGUCCGACUUCAGCCAGGUCACGAUCUCGCGCUCCGUGAGUUCGAGCCCCGCGUCAGGCUCUGGGCUGAUGGCUCAGAGCCUGGAGCCUGUUUCCGAUUCUGUGUUUCCCUCUCUCUCUGCCCCUCCCCCGUUCAUGCUCUGUCUCUCUCUGUCCCAAAAAUAAAUAAACGUUGAAAAAAAAAAUUUUUUUUAAAUAAAAAAAAUAAAAAAAAAAAAGAAAUGCUACUUCGUGUCCAUUAACUGUUGAAGUAAUUGUCACCCUGGGGGCUUGGGCCCAACAGAUUCACUUAUUUAACAGACCUUCAGUGAGCAUCUGCUAUGGACCAGGCAUGGCCACAGCACGGAAGAUGUAGGGGACAGACAGAAAUCCUUAUCCCAUGGAGCUUAUGUUUUAGUGAAGGUAGAGGAAAAAAGUAAGUAAAACAUAGUAAGCCUAUCAUAUUGUGCUAUGUGAUAUGGAGGAGAAUAAAGCAGGGAAUGAAUGCACUAGGGAGUGUGGCGUAGAGGAAAGAAGGUAACAAUUUUUAUUUUAUUUAAUUUUAAUUUUUUUUUUUUUUUUUUGAGGGAGAGAGUGUGAACUAAGGAGAGGCAGAGGGAGAGGGAGAGACAGAAUCCCAAGCAGGCUCCACACUCAAUGCUCGAUCUCACAAACCAUGAGAUCGUGACCUGAGCUGAAAUCAAGAAUCGGAUGCUUAACUGACUGACCCACCCAGGCGCCCCUGGAGGGUCACAAUUUUAGUUUAAGGUGGUUAGGGAAAGCCUCAUGGAGAAAGUACCAUUUGAACAAAGUCCUGGAGGAGGGGAAUGAGAUAGUGGUGGCCCUUUGGGUAAAGUAAAUAAACCUUUUGGCAGUGAUUUCAGGGUAAGGCCUUUUACAUCUCCAGAUGUUCUUUUCACCUACUAAUCACAAUCCCUAGAAUUCUUUUAUUGGUCAUACGUACUUUUAUGUUAAAAUGCUGAAAUAAGGGGCGCCUGGGUGGCUCAGUCGGUUGAAUGUCCGACCUCAGCUCAGGUCACGAUCUCGCGGUCCGUGAGUUCGAGCCCCGCGUCAGGCUCUGGGCUGAUGGCUCGGAGCCUGGAGCCUGUUUCCGAUUCUGUGUCUCCCUCUCUCUCUGCCCCUCCCCCGUUCAUGCUCUGUCUCUCUCUGUCUCAAAAAUAAAUAAAACGUUAAAAAAAAAUUUAAAAAAAAUGCUAAAAUAAAAAUACACAGUUAUCAACUAUUGAAAGCUCCCUGUGAAUUUGUUUAUCCGAUGCUUUUAUAAAUUCUAGGGAGGAAAGAGAGUAAGAUGGUAGGACAAGAGGAGGUGUGUGUGGAGGUAACAGAUGUGGGGAAAUAGAAAGGAAGAGCCUGCUGGGAGAGUCUGGAUUGCCAGGCUGGAGGCCAGGAUUGAGCCAGCUCCUUCUCACCAUAGUGCUGAGUGAGGUGCCCUGGGAUGCAGGAACAGGCCAGUUUGGCUCAGGUCACGAUCUCACGGUUCGUGUGUUUGAGCCCCACAUCUGGCUGUGUGCUGAUAGCUUAGAGCCUGGGGCCUGCUUCAAAUUCCAUGUCUCCCUCUCCCUCCCUCCCUCUCUCUCUGUCCCUCCCCUGUUCACACUCUGUCACUGUCUCUCACUCUCUGCCCCCCCCCCCCAAAUAAACAUUUAAAAAAAAAAUACUGCAUCUCCUGAGGAGCUUGGAGUGUUUGGGGUUGUGCUAUAGAUAGAUGUAACUCGGGACACACAGGAAAGCAGUGCAGGGACUUGUAACACUAUUAGUCUCUUGGUUAAUUUAACAGGCCUCAGGAAAUAAAUGAGUCAGGAAAGCUGUGAAAGUUUCCUCUUUAAUCGGUGCUGGAAAGCAGCAUUAUUUAUGAUGACAUCCGCCUCAUCUUUUGAAAUUAGAUGGCCCCCUGUAUCUUCAUUUUAGGUUCACCGUGGUUCCUAAAAGGUCAAUUCUCAAAAAUGCUUCUGUAGACAUAAGCUUUAGACCCUGGGUCACAAACUCAGAUGCCUAUACAGAGCAGACACCGGUGGCCACAAGUAGGUAUGGACCAGCGGGGGACUAGGACAAGUGGGAGAAGGCAUGCCUCCCUCUGCUGAGCUCGUGGGGUUGUUACCAAUGGAGUUGGAGGGCUCAAUGUUGCUAGAACUUCUCAUUCUUGACAGAAGGUGGAAAUCCAAAGUUUUAGACAAGACCUUCUGAGUUUUAAAUGUUGACAACCAAUUCAAGGUAGAUGGAUACACUGUGCAGGCCAAUUUAUGAUCUCUGAUGUAAACAGAUAACUUUGGUCAUCGUGGAACAUGAUAGGAAAGGUGGGCAAAGGAGGGACAUCUGACCAACCUGACAAGGGCGAGAAGGUAAAUUGUUUUAGGGAGUCGACCUCUGCCAAGUUGACGGCUUUAUCAAGGCUCCGCCUCACCUAUUUACCCACUGAAUUAUUUGGGGAAGACUUGUAACAUCUGAGUAGUGUUGGUAGAGGGGGAGAAAAUGCUGAGCUGACAGACAAGCCACAGGCCCAGGUCCUAGUAUUGGUUCUCUCUCAAACUCACUGUGCAGCCCUAGGCAGGUCCCAGCCCCUCCAGGUUUAAUUUCUUCAGCGGCAGAAUGAGAAGCUGGAUUUAAGGGUUUUCAAAAUGGGCCCCUCCCAGCCUAGGAAGACUUCAGAGAUGCCUUUGAGGGGUGGGGAAGGGUGGAGUAUCCCGGGGCUUGCAGUAAGACAGCUCAGCCUUUGUUCUGUUUUCUCUUUGGGGCUUCUGCUUUUCUGUGUUUUACAUCUUGAAAUUCUGCCAAAAAAAAAAAAAUUUAAAUUUCUUGAAGAGACAGUUUUCCCACUUUCAAAAAAGCUUCAAAAUCACCAAAUGAGCUUAUCAGGCCUGGUAUGAGAGUUAUUAGUAGAGGUCUGCAGCUGAUCUGAAUGAACGAACACUAGGUCUUUUCCUCCAUUUGCUGCUGUCCUGUCCACUGUCUGUCUGGUUACAAUUGCUCCCGCUCCAACCUCAGGCGUCGAUCAAAUCAACAAGCAGCCGACAAAUAUCGGACGGAUUCUGACACAUUACCCAGUCUCAUAGCUUGUUUGGGGGGGAUUUUCUUUCUGUGUUUUGGUGAACACAUGUGUCCUUUUUGUGAUACUGUCUUGAUCAUAUUUGCUACUAAAAAACUUUUCCUGGCUUACAGGAUUUGAUUAAUUCUACCGACAUUUCAUAAGUUUGAAAAGCACUCAACUGACUUUUAUUUUUUAAUUAAAAAAAUGUUUUUAAUGUUUAUUUGUUUUUGAGAGAGAGAGACACACACACAGACAAACUGUGAGCAGGGGAGGGCCAGAGAGAGAGAGAGACAGAGGGUGUUAUGCCCAGAAUUCCUGAUCCCCAAAGACCGCCAGGGAGCCGAGUCCGAUGUAAAAGCAAAAGAACCUUUAUUUGAGCUAGCUCGAGCUCAAUCCCCUACCUGCAGCAACUCAGCGGUGAGAUACCGGGGAGAGAGAGCAAGUUUCCAAAGGACAAAGGUUUUAAUUGGGGCCUAGGGGCAGUUGGUGAAGUAAUGGCUGUGGCCUCAGCCGAUUGGCUGGGGAAGAGUCGGAGUCCUGUUAGGCAGGUGAGCGGGAGGUUACUCAAGGGGAGGAGGCGUGGUCAAGGUGAAGGACACAGAACAAGAUGGAGUCGGCCGGUGUAGGCCCGCCUUUUCAAGGGCAGGCACAGAAUCUUGAAGCAGGCUCUGAGCUGUUAGCACAGAGCCCGACAUGGGGCUUGAACUCGAGAACCGUGAGAUCAUGACCUGAGCCAAAGUCAGAUGCUUAACCAACUGAGCCACCCAGGUGCACCUAUUUUUUAAUUAAAAAAAACUUUGUUUAAUGUUUAUUUUAUUUUUGAGAGAAAGAGACAGAGCACGAGCAGGGGAGGGGCAGAGAUAGAGGGAGACACAGAACCUGAAGCAGGCUCCACGGUCUGAGCUGUCAGCACAGAGCCUAAUGUGGGGCUCCAACCCACAGAACCGUGAGAUCAUGACCUGAGCUGAAAUUGGAUGCUUAACCAACUGAGCCACCCAGUCGCCCUAGAAAAUCAUUCAACUGACUUUUAAAAAUUAGCUAUAAUUUAUUGAUAGUCUCAUAUGUGCUGACUUUAUGUAUAUCACCUCUAAGCUUCAGAUUAUUAACCCUGCAGAGGAGGUAUUUUUGUGUCUGUUGUACUGACAAAUAAGGAAACUAAGGCUGGGUGAGGUUAAAGGCUUACCCGGAUCACAUAGGUUUUCAGCCCAUACCUGUCCCAGCAUAUUCUCAACCAGACAAUCUCUCUAAGGUUGUUUCUAGCUUUGAGAAGUUAGGAGGCAGGAGUUCUGCUGUCUUAAGCUGCCCUACAGUCAACUGCAAAACUGCUGUCAAUUUUCAACUUUCCGGAACCCGUCAUCUACUUACAAACCUUGAAUGGAAGCUUGUUGAACUCACAGCUAUUCAAGUUUGUUGCCCUAAUCUUGACUGAUAGAAGGGUCUCUCAAUUUGAAUAGUCUCUUCCAUGGUCUGGACAUCGUCAUUGGGAAAUGAGAGAACUUUAGGUCUGGGGGUGGAAAUAGACUUUUGGGGAUGAAUAAGUGGAUUUUCAGUGUUAUUUCUGCACUUGGCUGAGCUGAGUUUCUCCUGCAAAGGAAAUUGCUUUCCCUGUUUGUUGAUCUGCCUCAAGUUCUGGUCCAAUGGAUUCAGUUACCCUAGUGGCGGGUGUAAGCCAAGCGUGUGGCACAAGGCAAGCAUUGACUGUGGACAGCUGUGUUUUUGUUGUUGUUGUUAAGCACUUUGCUGGGCACAUAGUAUAUCCUAGAUCAGUGUUUCUAAUUGCUGUAACCACAGGAUUUUUUUUUUUUUUCUUAAAAGCUCACCUCCAAGACGGUAACACUGUAACAUUUUCAGAGAAUGUUUGUGAACAUUGUAAAAAACAGCAACAACAACAAUGUGAAACAGGCAGCAGAAGUGUUAUGAUUCUCUUUGCACAGGCAAGAAAAGUUUCUGAUCAUUCAUUCAGUUGGCAAGUGGAAGCGCCUGCACGGUAACUCGGAUAUUUCUACCAUAAAUCCUGUGUCCUCUCCGUUUUAUUAGAGUCGUUGGCUUUUCUGACUGGAGGGGAAACCAGUGGACUUUCAGGAUCAGCCUAGUUUUUGUUAACAUCUCUGAUGGUGAUUUUGAAAAAUAAAGAAAGAAAAGCCAGUUUAUUAAUCGCAUGGCUUGAGAAAAACACGAAUAACCAUUGUUUUUCCAUUAAAAAAAAAAAGUAGAGGUCCCAAUUAUAAAUAAGGCCUGAAAGUUUAGAGUUUGCCAUGAUAAAAAAUAUGGGCAAGUGUUUCUUUUUUUUUUUUCUUUAAAAAAUUUUUUGGUGUUUAUUUAUUUUGAGAGAGAGAGAGAGGCCAUGAGCAGGGCAGGGGCAGAGAGAGAGAGAGAGAGAGAGAGAGAAUCCCAAGCAGGCUCUGUGCUGAUGUGGGGGUUCCAUCCCACAAAUUGUGAGGUCCUGACCUGAGUGAAAUCAAGAGUCAGACGCUCAACCAACUAAGCCACCCAGCUGCCCCCCAAAUAUGGGCAAGUGUUUCUGGGCCAACUCCUACCUGGCCUCUGUUUCCUGCAGAGACGAGAAUGGAAUUUGGAUACUGCCCACUUCUGGGAGCGUUGUUUUUUGUUUGCUUUGCAGCUCAGAUGCUUGAAUGAUUCAUUGAUUGAUUGGCUGCCUCUGACUUCUACAGCUAAGUGAAGAGGUUUGUGUAUGUAUGGCUUUCUUUUAAGAAGGAAAAGAGAAGAACGCUGGAGCUCUUUUGCUCCUUUGCUUGGAGCUUUUCACAGCCCAUACUAACAGAUGAACCUAGGUUACCUGGAUGCCUUUUCUCUUUCCUUAGAGGUUAAUUCUUCAAAUGGUUUGUGCCCAAUUCUGCCCCUCUGUGAUAAUGAGGCAGGUAUUUAGAAGCCGCAGGAGAAGUCUGAAGAAUGCUUUGGGUCGCCCUAGACAGAGGGGACACAGGAAGGGCUCACAAGGAUGAGAACUUGGUAGUCAGGUAAUCAUUCCGUUUCCUGUCACUGAGAGCCGUGCUUUGCGACCUUGGCUACACGAGUGAAUUAUACAGAGAGCUUUUCAAACAUACUAAUGCCUGAGACUCAUCGCCCCUCGGUCAGGGCAGGGUCUAAGCAAAGGUAAUUUUUAAGCUUCCCAGGUGAUUCUACAUAUGCACUGAGGUGUGAGAAUCUCUGAUGGCGGCUUCCAGUGUCUUGUUGAAAACCAGGUGGGAUAAUCCCAAGUGACAGCAGCUUGUCCUGCCAGGACGUUACAGGUAUGUUGGGUGAACAGUUCCUUCAGUGUAAAACACACAUUUAUUGAGCACCUCUGUUCUAGGUGCUGGGAAUACUUCCAGGAACAAGACAGCCUGUGUCAACAGAUGCUUUCUUUCUAGUGGGCGGAGACAAAUAAUAAACACACCGACAGGACUGCGAGGAGUGUCAAGAAGGAAACAAACCGAGAGAUUAGGGGUCAGGGAAAGCCUCCCUGAGAAGCUAUUUUUGCAGGACCUGAAGGAGCAGGGGUACCUGGAGCCAACGAUAAGGCAGAGGGACUAGAGGGUGAAAAAGUCCCGAGACAAGGAGGGUGGUGUGUUUGAGGAGCAGAAAAGCCUGCAGUCACUUUCCUUUAUCUCGAAAGAGGAGUGGCAGACAGUGAGCAAGUGCCAGCCUGACAUUUCUUGCAGUUCACACAGAUCACUCAGUAUGCUCUUGCCAAAUAGGACACACUCUGCCAAGGAAGCACAAAGGGAAGUAUCCUGCCGGAGCCAGGGUACUGGGUGCUGGACAAAGAAGUCUCCGCGGUAUUAGCCAAAAAUUGCUGACGAUGAGAAAAAAAUUCGGCAGUCCUACGUGGCACCGAGAUAAGCUAUGAAAAGGAAAAAAAAAUGCAAUUAUACAUUUGAUAUCCAGACGAUUUGGCCUCAUUCUUUAGUCUUUUAUCUUGUUGCUCACCAUCACUUUGAAUGCAGCCUAUCAGUGGGGCAGAACUGGCCUCAUUUGAGAACUCAUUCAGUUCUCUGACACGCUGCUUUGGAGGCCUCCCCCCAACCAAACUUUCUGGACGGGGGAAUGUUUGUCAGAUAUGUAUAAAUAAGGUCAGAGCCAUCGGCUCUAUGCCUGUAGGAGACCCUAAAUAUUUCUGUGAAUCUCUUGUUUUUGAGAAACACAGACCCAGCUCCCUUCCUUGGUUUCACACAAGACUUCUACUUAAAUUGUGGAGGCUCACCAACUGCUUAACAUCUCAUGGCAACCAAAGAAAAAAAGCUACACUGAUUUAUUUUUAAAGGUUGUUUUUCUUUUUCUUUUCUUUUCUUUUCUUUUCUUUUCUUUUUCUUUUUCUUUUUUUUUUUUUUUUUUUUUUUUUUUUUUUGGAAUCUCUACACCCAUCAUGGGGCUCAAACACACAACCCUGAGAUCAAGAGUUGCAUGCUCCUCCGACUGAGCCAGCCCAGGUGCCCCGACACUUAUUUUUAGCUAAACUUUCUGAGGUCCCUCUCCUAUUAAGUUUAAAUGGUUUUUUUCAAUCACAUAACCUGGAAUUAAUUUUUCUGGUUGGCAUGUUGUUACUCAUACUCUAUAAAACAAACCAUGGGGUUCAAUGCAAAGAAAACAACUGUAAUUAAUAUAUAUCCUCAACCAGAACAUCCAAGAAUUCCAAUAAUUUCCAAAUGCUUUUGCAUAAGAGAUCAUAAUGAUGCCCGGGUAAAAUAGGAGUGCUUUAAAAGAUGAUUUUAAUGAGAAAGAUAGCCCUUCUUAAAUUCUUAUGAGGCAAGGAAAAACUCACCCAAUUAUUGAAAGGAAAAAAAAAGGCUGUGGCAAUUGUUAAAGGAUUUCUUUUAUUUCUAACAAUAAUAUAGGGGUUUUAUAAGCUCUUCCCAUGCCGUAAGUAGGAGUGUGAAACUUAGCCGAUGGGAUCAUGGAAAGAGGGUGACUGAAUUAUAGUCAUGGCUACUACUAAUGAGGAAAAACAAGUCAAGAGGAAACCUGGGACAGUUUUCUCUUUUUUUGAGGCUUAAACAAGACAAGAUGGAUUUAAAUUGCAUCAGGAUGGGUUUCUUCUUGAAAUAAAAUGCCCAUAAUGCCUAUAAAACAAGCCAGUUGGUUAGAAAUAUACAUGUCUAUGGUUUCCAUCAAUUCUUAUGUGGUAUAGAUCAUACAUGGUUUUUGAAGCACCACAAUUAUGGCACCUGGAAGUGAAGGUUAAGUAUUACCAGAGUUAGUAAAAAUAAUUAAUUAGUGGGUAUUUAUUUUAAAAAAAAAAUUUUUUUUUUCAACGUUUAUUUAUUUUUGAGACAGAGAGAGACAGAGCAUGGACAGGGGAGGGGCAGAGAGAGAGGGAGACACAGAAUCGGAAACAGGCUCCAGGCUCCGAGCCAUCAGCCCAGAGCCUGAUGCGGGGCUCGAACUCACGGACCGCGAGAUCGUGACCUGGCUGAAGUCGGACGCUUAACCGACUGCGCCACCCAGGCGCCCCUAAUUAGUGGGUAUUUACAUGGCAAAAUAAUUGGCCAUGAGGCCAAAGAACCAUGUCUACCUUGUUCAUUGUAUUCCCGGCACCUAGCACUUCAUGGAUACUCUUCAAAUAUUUGUUGAAUGGAUUCAUUUUUCAAGUAGCAGCCGCACUACAUGCAUUUGAUCCCUCCAAACUUGAUUAGAAGUAACUUCUCCAGGAGAGCUUAUGUUACCCAAAGACAGCAGAUGCACCAAGAGAGCAAAUGAGAUGCUCAAGGAUGAGCAGUGAUGUCUUAUCAAGGAAAACAGCAAAACCUCUUUUUUCCUGAAGACCUUUCACCAUUAGGACAAGCAACUGUUGGUAAAAACAGAACAGCAGGAAGAUUUGAACUGCCAAGCAGGAUCAUGCUUUCAAGUAUAUUCCUGGCUAAAAGCAGGAGAUAAACUGGAUAAAACGUAGCAGCCCUGAGAUCUGUCCCUGAUUAACUAGGCCUAAGAGUAAGAGUCUAAAGAACGGCUGCCUGGCUGAACGCAUCCUUUGGAUAUUGUUAUCAUCAGCAGCCUCUAGAUUUGAAAACAGUGCUGAACACGCUUUCAAAUGAUCUUUGAGGUACUUUAAGCUACAGCUGAAAGCUUACCUCGCCUUCUUUUCUGUUUGCUUGAACAAGAGCCUGAAAAAGAAGGUUAAAGAGCUCUCUAGUGAUGUCCUUCACUCCUGUCCUAAAAAGAACCUCUCUUCUUUACUGAGUUAAGGGGAUUUCACAACUCCCAGAGGAUAAUGUGAAGUUAGUUUUCACUCACUGCUGAACCAACUAAAGUUCCUUUCAGAUUCUUUUCCUAGACUGGAAAAGUGUCUGAGCUCUUCAAGCUAGUAUUCGUUAUUGCAGAAAGAUGGAGAUUAUGUUAUAUUCUAUACUAUAAUGGGGCAUAAAAUGUUUAAAUCAUGAAGCUUCAUAAAAUGUGUAAAAGGUUAAAAAAAAGCAUACCUUAACAUUUAUAAGUACUUAUCACUGGUCUGUGAAAGGACAUUUUCUUAGUGCCUCAACCUGUAAGUGAAUGUCAAUAAAGAUGAGUGGGAAGAUAUUUUAUACACAUAUUUUUCCAUAUUUAUUAUAUGAGGUAUUUAUUAAUAAUAAUUUAUAUUUAUAUGGAGAUAGUAAUCUCUUCCAUAAUUGACACUGCACCCAGUCCUGGUGUAGCUAUUUAAAUGCAUGUAAAUUAAAUAAAUUAUAGCAAAGUCACAAAACUGACAAGCCCAAUAUGAGAACAGCAGUCUUCAGAUUAAAAAAAAUUUUUUUUCAUGUUUAUUUUUGAGAAAGACAGAGUGUGAGUGGGGGAGGAGGAGAGAGAGAGGGAGACACAGAAUCGGAAGCAGGCUCCAGGUUCCCAGCUGUCAGCACAGAGCCCGACUCGGGGCUUGCGUUCAUGAACCGUGAGAUCAUGAUCUGAGCCGAAGUCGGACUCUUAACCGACCGAGACACCCAGGCGCCCCUCAGUCUUCGGAUUUUAAAAAAUUAUUUGCUGGGGCACCUGGGUGGCUCAGUCGAUUAAGUGUCUGACUCUUGAUCUCAGCUCAGGUCAUGAUCUCACGGUUUGUGGGAUUGAAGCCCCUGUCAGCUCUGUACCAACAGUGUGCAGCCUGCUUGGGAGUCUCUCCCUCCUUCUCUCUCUGCCCCUCCCCUGCUUGCACUCUCUCUCUUUCUCAAAAAUAAAUAAAUUUAAAAAAUAAAAUUAAAAAAAUAAAUUAUUUGCUGCCGAUAAUUUGAUAAAUAUAAUUAAAAUGUAUCUGUUGGAUAUAUAUGUUGGAUUUCAUGCAUAUAAUACUAAAAUACAAAGUUGGAAGUUGCUGGCUAGACAUCACUUUCUUAAACAGCUUUAUUGAGAUAGUAUUCACUUAGCAUAAAGUUCACACUUCCAUAGACUUGUGCAGCCAUCGCCAGAAACUAAUUUUAGAGCAUUUUCCCUACCUCCCAAAACUACUGUUAGCAGCCAUUCUCCACUCUUCAUCCCCUUUCCCCCAACUCAGCUCUGGGCAACCACUAAUCUCCUUUCUGUCACUAUGGAUUUGCUCAUUGUGGACAUUUUACAUAAAUGGAAUUGUACAAUAUAUGAUCUUUCGUAUUUAGCUUUUAUCACUCUGCGUGUUUUCAGGGUUCAAUCAUCUUGUAGCAUGUAUCAGUACUUAAUCCUUUUUAUGGCUGAAAAAUAUUCCAGUGUGUGGAUAAACCAUUUUUGUUUAUCCAUCAGUUGAUGGACAUAUGGUUUGUUUUCACUUGGGGGCUAUAAUGAAUAAUACUGCUGUGAACAUUUGUGUGCAAGUUUUUGCGCGAACAUCUGAUUUCAUUUGGGGGGGGGGUUGCUGGGUCAUUUAAUAACUGUUUACCGUUUUUAAAAACUGUUUUCCAAAAUGACUGCACCAUUUUACAUUUCCACUAGCGACAUGUGAAGGUUCCAGUUUCUCCGCAUUCUCAUCAACACUUGUUGCCUGUCUUUCUUCUUAGAGCCAUUUAAUGGAUGUCAACUAGUAUCUCAUUGUGAUUUUUGAGUUGCACUUCCGUAAUAACUAAUGAUGCUGUGCAUCUUUUCGUGUGCAUAUUGGCUGUUUGUUUAUCUUUCUUGGAGAAAUGUCUGUUCAAAGUAUUCAAAACUACUUUGACUGUUUUUCAUCUGGGCUAUGUAUUUUUUUAUUGUUGAGUUGUAAGAAGUCUUCAUAUGUUCUGGAUACUUGACCCCUAUCAGAUGUAUGAUUUGCAAAUAUUUUCUCUCAUCCUGUGAGUGAGCGGGUGUCUUUGCACUUUCUUAAUGGUGUCCUUUGACUCAGGAAAGUUUUCCUAGUUUGAUUACCAAUUUAUUUUUUCUUUGGUUGCUUGUACAAAACUUUUUAAUUUUAAUGAGGCCCAAUUUAUCUCUAUUUCCUUUUGUUGCUAUGUUAAGGUGUCAUAUACUAUAUAAGAAACUAUUGGCUAAACCCAAAACCAUUGCCUGAAGAUUUACUCCUAUGUUUUCUUCUUAGUGUUUUAUAGUUUUACCUCUUACAUUUAAGUCUGUGAUCCCUUUUGAUUUAUUUUUUCUGUAUGGUAUAAGGUGGGGGUCCAGGUCAUUCUCUAGCAUUUGUAUAUCCAGUGGUCUUUCUCAAUUUAUAUGUCUUAGCCCUCUUGUUGAAAAUAAAUUGACCAUAAAUGUAAAAGUUUAUUUCUGGACUCUCAAUUCUAGUCCAUUAUCUAUAUAGAUCUGCCCUUGUGCCUGGCGGUACAACCCUGUCUGGAUUACUGUAGCAUUGUAGUAAGUUUUGAAAUCAAGAAGUGUGAGUCCUUCAACUUUCUUGUUUUGAAGGAAUUUUUUAAAUUAAAUUAUUAUUAUUUAAAAUUUUUUUUUGAUGUUUAUUGAUUUUUGAGAGAGAGAGAGAGAGCAUGAGCAGGAGAGGGGCAGAGAGAGAGGGAGACACAGAAUCUGAAGCAGGCUCCAGGCUCCCAGCUGUCAGCACAGAGCCCAUGCAAGGACUUGAACUUACAAACUGUGAGAUCAUGACCUGAGCUGAAGUCAGACACUUAACCGACUGAGCCACCCAGGCACCCCUAUUAUUAUUAUUAUUAUUAUUUAAGUAACUCUGUCCUCGAUAUGGGGCUUGAACUCACAACUCUGAGAUCAAGAGUCGCAUGCUCUACUGACUUAGCCAGGCAGGUGCCCUAAAGGAAUCUUUUUUUUUUUUUUUUUUUUUUUUUAAUUUUCAAUCUAGUGUAGUUAACAUGCAGUGUUAUAUUUAUUUCAGUCUUCUUUUUUUUUUUCCCCCAAGGAUCUUUUGACUAUUCUGUGGGCAUCCCUUUUGCAGGUCUCACUGAGAUAGGGUCUAAUCCUUAGUUUUGCAGUUGUAGGCCUUUAAAAAAAUUCUCGAGGUGUAACUGACGUGGGCUGGUUUCAAGUCUACAACAUAAUGAUUUGAUAUUUGUAUAUACUGGGGAAUGAUCCCCACAAUAAGUCUAGUUAACAUCCAUCACCAUAUGUAAUUACAAAUUUUUCCCCCUUGGGAUGCAAACUUCUAAGAUUCUCUCAGCAACUUUCAAAUAUGCAAUACAGUAUCAUUAACUAUAGUCACGAUGCUGUACAUUACAUCCCCAUGGCUUAUUUUGUAACUGGAGGUUUGUAUCUUUUGACCCCUUUCACCCAUUUUUCCCACCCACUACCCUCUCCUCGGACAACCACUAAUCUGUUUUCUGUAUCUGUGAGGUUGGUGGGUUUUUUUUUUUUUUUAAAUAUUUCAUACAUAAAUGAGAUCAUGUGGUAUUUGUCUUUCUUGGUCUGACUAACUUCACUUAGUCUAAUACCUUCAAGGCGCAUCACUGUUGUUACAAGGGCAAGAUUUCAUUUCUUUUUAUGGUUGAAUAAUAUUCCAUUGUAGAUACAUACCACAUUGCCUUUAUCUGUUUCUCCAUUGAUAGACACUUAGGGUAGGGCACCUGUCGAGAGCCUGUGGCUCUCGAUCUUGGGUGUCAUGAGUUCGAGCCCCAUUUUGAGUGUAAAGAGUACUUAAAUAAACAAACAGACUUUUAAAAAAUGGGUUGUUGCCAUGUCUUGGCUAUUGUAAAUAAUGCUGCAGUGAACAAGGCGGGGGGGUGGGCAUGUAUCUUUUCAAAUUAGUGUUUUGUUUUCUUCAGAUAAAAACCCAGAAGAGUUGCUGGAUCAUUUGGUAGUUCUAUUUUUAAUUUUUGAGGAACCUCCAUACUGUUUGCUAUAGCGGCUGCACCAAUUUACAUUUCCAUCGACAGUACACAAGGGUUCCCUUUUCUCCAUAUCCUCUCAACACUUAUUUCUUGUCUUUUUGAUAAUAGCCAUUCUAACAGUUAUGGGGUGAGUUUUGGGAUCUUGAGUACAUCAGUUUCCCCCAAAAGUGAACAGGUGACAGAGCAGGAGUUCAUAUUCCUCAAACUUGCAAGAAAAUGUCAUCUGAUGGCUACAUUUUGUGAUAUUUCCUGUUUGACGCCCUGACCCAAAAUGCCAGUAGGGAAAUUCCCCCUUCUAAGAUGCGGGAUUAGUUGCCAAGAGGUUGCUUGCUAAACAUGGAAUUGGAAACUAGACAGAGAGGAGGGAUACAAUGUAAUGGUUAAGAGUUACAGGCUUUAGGACCAGACAGCUCUAAGUUUGAAUCCUGUCUCUGCCACUCAAUGAUUGUGUAACCAGGGCAAGACUUUGGACCCUAUUCAUUUGUACAGGGGGAAAAAGAGUCCUUUCCUCAUACACUGGCUGUGAAGGUAAAAUGAAACAGGGAAUGUAAACCCUUAACACUGCCUAUGACUAAUUAAACUUAAGUACAUGGUACCUAUUGGAUGCACUUGUAGAAUGUUUCCUUCAGAGUGUGAAGAACUGGUCUUUGUCAUAGCACAGGCUUUCUGGUGACUUGAGUCAUUAUGUCUGCAAAUAGGGGGACGGACCUUUUUGGUUUGAAAAUCAUUGGCCAAGACUGGAGCCAUUUAUACUCUAGAGUGGGAUAGAGGGACCUGGAGAGCAUUGUCACCACCUGCCUCUGGACAUUGCAUUGCCUGAUGGAAAUGGUAGGCCAGUGUCGUUAGAUUUCAGUGUUGUUGAUGAUACUGAUUUUUGGUCAUUUAAAUUGCAGAGGGUAGGAGCACCUGGCUGGCUCAGUCAGAAGAGCAUGCGACUCUUGAUCUCAGGGUCAUGAGUUUGAGCACCACGUGGGGUGUAGAGAUUAAAUAAAUAAAACUUUUUUUUUUAAUUUUUUUUUUCAACGUUUAUUUAUUUUUGGGACAGAGAGAGACAGAGCAUGAACGGGGGAGGGGCAGAGAGAGAGGGAGACACAGAAUCGGAAACAGGCUCCAGGCUCCGAGCCAUCAGCCCAGAGCCUGACGCGGGGCUCGAACUCACGGGCCGCGAGAUCGUGACCUGGCUGAAGUCGGACGCUUAACCGACUGCGCCACCCAGGCGCCCCUAAAACUUUUAAAAAUUAAUUAAUUAAAUUGCAGAGGGUACUAUUUACUGAUCUAGCCUUUUAAAUCUGGGAUUUAGAGCCUUCCUUUGCAAUGGCUUUUUCAGAGUCUGUAUAUUCAGAAACCUCAGGUACCAAGAAUACCACUAAGAUUUAAGAAAUAAAUGAAAACAGGGGCAUCUGGGUGGCUUAGUUGGGUGAGUGUCCGACUCUUCAUCUUGGCUCAGGUCACGAUCUCACAGUUUGUGGGUUUGAGCCCUUUGUGGGGAUCCGUACUGACAACUCAGGGCCUGGAGCCUGCUUCAGAUUCUGCGUCUCCUUCUCUCUCUGCCCCUCCCCCAUUUGCACUCUGUCUCUCCCUCUCUCUCUCUAAAAAAUAAACAUCAAGAAAAGAGAAAAAAGAAAAAAGAAAGAAGUGAAAACGGGCGCCUGGGUGGUUCAGUUGGUUAAGUGUCCGACUUCAGCUCAGGUCAUGAUCUCUUGGUCCUUGAGUUCCAGCCCCACAUUGGGCUCUGUGCUAGCAGCUCGGAGCCUGGAGCCUGCUUCGGAUUCUGUGUCUCCCUCUCUCUCUGCCCCUCCGCUGCUUGCACGUGUGCUCUCUGUCUCUGUCAAAAAUAAACAUUAAAAAAAAUGUUUUUAAAUAAGUGAAAAACCACUCAUUGAAAAGUCAAAAUAAAUGUCGCAAAAACUCAUGUGCUUAAGAGAAUCCCAUAGAAGAUCUUUAUUCAAAACCCAAGAGUCUAAACUAAUGAAAGUUUAUCAGUGUCUAAGUUCAUAGUAAAUUGAAGAAUAAAAAAAAAAAGGAAAGAAGGUUGUCAGCUAGAAAAAUAGAGAAAUGUCAAUCUGGUAGUGAGGAAUGAGACAUACAAAAAGACAGAUGUAAGUUUAAAGUAACAGCUUUCUAGAGGCCAUUUUUUCAUUAGGACAAAUAGCUCUGCAUCCUUUUUUUUUUUUAACUUAUUUAUUUUGAGACAGAGAGAGGGCGUGGGAGCAGGACAGGGGCAGAGAGAGAAGGAGAGAGAGAAUGCUAAGCUAAGACUCUGUGCUGUCAGCACAGAGCCCAACGUGGGGCUCAGACCCACAAACCUUGAGAUCAUGACCUGAGCCGACAUCAGGACACCCCUCUACAUACUUUUGAAGGCAUCCACUGAUCAUAAUAGAAUACAUUGAUGUUGAUAAUGAUAAUGAUGCUUUUUAAUCACUGAGUGUAAGUACUUUUUCAAAGAUUCAAGAAAACCUGAGUUUUCUCGGGGAGAAACGUUCUGUAAAAAGGAGCUAAAGUUUUAGGCAAGAUAUGGGAUAUCUUAUUCUCUUGUUUGAUCCCAGAUAAAUGUUACUGGCCUUAAAUUCUAUUCAACAGGUUGAAUUUGCAAACUAAAGGAGUAUUCAAAUAAGUAGUGUAGGGAGCUUGGGGUUGAACUGUUUCCGUGCAUUCUCAGCCUAGUAUGUGGUUGUUAUUAAGUAUCCUUGAGGGGAAUCAAAGCUGUAAUUGUAACUUCUCCCUCAGCAGGGUUUCCUCCGAGCCCCUUCAAUAUCUGAGCUAAAUAGACUUGUGUUGAUCCACUCUGGAGGGCCUGCAUGGGGAAUAUGAAGAAUGAAAUUACCUGGCAACUAGCACUCUGUAUACCGCAGCCAUUCCGUUCCGGUCAGGCAUAAACAAGCACAGUGACAUUGCUCUAUGCUUCUUUUGUGGAGUCUGCAGCUCAAGAGAUUUCUGUCAACUGGAAGGUGAAUGCUGAAUAUCGCCCACACUGGAUUUGAACCGGUAAACAGUUUCGAACAAACAUAAGGUAGACAGACUGAAGUUCUAACAUCCCAUUAUUUUGUCUACCACCCGUUCUAAUGUGGAUUUUAAAGCUUUAAUUAGGCAUGGGAGCCAGCACAGAGCCUGAAAGAGACCUGUUAGGAUUUUAGUUAGAGCUGGAAGGCUUUUGGAAAAUUUGGCCCAGCCUCUUCAUUUUACAGAAGGGAAAACCGAGGCUCUGGGACAUGUUAUGAUUUAAUGUAGGUCACACAGUUAAUUAGUGACAGAGCGAGAGGGAACCCAAGGUGUCCCCACAACUCCUUCGGCCGGUGGUUUUCUAGUAGGCCACCUACUCCUAGACCGAUGUCCCUGUCUCCCUCCUUUCUUUCUUCCUUUUCUCCCCCCCCCCCCCCCCUCUCCUUGUUCUUUCUUUCCCUUCUUCGCGGUGCAAAUCAGAACGUGGGCCUGAACACCGGGAAGACUAGGUGUCAGCCCCAGCUCUCCACCACUUGAGGUGCGCGCUCGCUCGCUUGCUCGCUCUCUGCAUCAGGACUUGGGGCUGGGUCUCUUCUCUCCAUGGCAGGUGCUUAGCACCUGGGCAGAAUCGCUGCAUCAUCGCGGCGCCCCUCUCCCUGCUCCCGAUUUUACAGCACGGGCGUGUGUCACGGCGGUGGCCGAGCAGGAGAAGGACGCGGGUCUGAACCCACGCCGUUCGAAAAGGGAGGCUCAGGAAACCCUCUCGGUUCCCGGCUGGCCCCGGGCUGGCGGAGAGAUGCCCAGCGCGUGAGUGACCUCGGCGCCGACCCCGCCACUGGNNNNNNNNNNNNNNNNNNNNNNNNNNNNNNNNNNNNNNNNNNNNNNNNNNNNNNNNNNNNNNNNNNNNNNNNNNNNNNNNNNNNNNNNNNNNNNNNNNNNNNNNNNNNNNNNNNNNNNNNNNNNNNNNNNNNNNNNNNNNNNNNNNNNNNNNNNNNNNNNNNNNNNNNNNNNNNNNNNNNNNNNNNNNNNNNNNNNNNNNNNNNNNNNNNNNNNNNNNNNNNNNNNNNNNNNNNNNNNNNNNNNNNNNNNNNNNNNNNNNNNNNNNNNNNNNNNNNNNNNNNNNNNNNNNNNNNNNNNNNNNNNNNNNNNNNNNNNNNNNNNNNNNNNNNNNNNNNNNNNNNNNNNNNNNNNNNNNNNNNNNNNNNNNNNNNNNNNNNNNNNNNNNNNNNNNNNNNNNNNNNNNNNNNNNNNNNNNNNNNNNNNNNNNNNNNNNNNNNNNNNNNNNNNNNNNNNNNNNNNNNNNNNNNNNNNNNNNNNNNNNNNNNNNNNNNNNNNNNNNNNNNNNNNNNNNNNNNNNNNNNNNNNNNNNNNNNNNNNNNNNNNNNNNNNNNNNNNNNNNNNNNNNNNNNNNNNNNNNNNNNNNNNNNNNNNNNNNNNNNNNNNNNNNNNNNNNNNNNNNNNNNNNNNNNNNNNNNNNNNNNNNNNNNNNNNNNNNNNNNNNNNNNNNNNNNNNNNNNNNNNNNNNNNNNNNNNNNNNNNNNNNNNNNNNNNNNNNNNNNNNNNNNNNNNNNNNNNNNNNNNNNNNNNNNNNNNNNNNNNNNNNNNNNNNNNNNNNNNNNNNNNNNNNNNNNNNNNNNNNNNNNNNNNNNNNNNNNNNNNNNNNNNNNNNNNNNNNNNNNNNNNNNNNNNNNNNNNNNNNNNNNNNNNNNNNNNNNNNNNNNNNNNNNNNNNNNNNNNNNNNNNNNNNNNNNNNNNNNNNNNNNNNNNNNNNNNNNNNNNNNNNNNNNNNNNNNNNNNNNNNNNNNNNNNNNNNNNNNNNNNNNNNNNNNNNNNNNNNNNNNNNNNNNNNNNNNNNNNNNNNNNNNNNNNNNNNNNNNNNNNNNNNNNNNNNNNNNNNNNNNNNNNNNNNNNNNNNNNNNNNNNNNNNNNNNNNNNNNNNNNNNNNNNNNNNNNNNNNNNNNNNNNNNNNNNNNNNNNNNNNNNNNNNNNNNNNNNNNNNNNNNNNNNNNNNNNNNNNNNNNNNNNNNNNNNNNNNNNNNNNNNNNNNNNNNNNNNNNNNNNNNNNNNNNNNNNNNNNNNNNNNNNNNNNNNNNNNNNNNNNNNNNNNNNNNNNNNNNNNNNNNNNNNNNNNNNNNNNNNNNNNNNNNNNNNNNNNNNNNNNNNNNNNNNNNNNNNNNNNNNNNNNNNNNNNNNNNNNNNNNNNNNNNNNNNNNNNNNNNNNNNNNNNNNNNNNNNNNNNNNNNNNNNNNNNNNNNNNNNNNNNNNNNNNNNNNNNNNNNNNNNNNNNNNNNNNNNNNNNNNNNNNNNNNNNNNNNNNNNNNNNNNNNNNNNNNNNNNNNNNNNNNNNNNNNNNNNNNNNNNNNNNNNNNNNNNNNNNNNNNNNNNNNNNNNNNNNNNNNNNNNNNNNNNNNNNNNNNNNNNNNNNNNNNNNNNNNNNNNNNNNNNNNNNNNNNNNNNNNNNNNNNNNNNNNNNNNNNNNNNNNNNNNNNNNNNNNNNNNNNNNNNNNNNNNNNNNNNNNNNNNNNNNNNNNNNNNNNNNNNNNNNNNNNNNNNNNNNNNNNNNNNNNNNNNNNNNNNNNNNNNNNNNNNNNNNNNNNNNNNNNNNNNNNNNNNNNNNNNNNNNNNNNNNNNNNNNNNNNNNNNNNNNNNNNNNNUUUUUUUUUUUUUUUUUCAGAAAAAUAAAACUUUUCAGAACAAAGUAGACCAAAAAUUUCUUAAAUUGUGGUAUUAACAGUGUUCCAUAGUUAACUUUUCCUGGGAGUCUGGGGUUGACACUACUGUGACUUUUACCCAUUGUGUGAAAUGCUCAGAACUACCUCAGAAUUAUCCCGUAUUAAAUAAAGUUUAUUUUCAUUAAUAAAAUCACUAUCACAUUUUAGUUUCUCAGUUUUGCAUGCUACUUUUCACCUUUUCCCUUUCCCUGAUUUCAAACUCCAGUUCUACUUAACCAACUACCACCUUGAAGGGGAGAAUAAGGGCUUCUCUUGUGUAAUAUUACUCUACCUAAACUGUGCAUAAUUGCACAGGUACUUUUCAAAAGAAUGGCUAGGUCCACAAACUCUUUAAUGUACAGAAGGUGAACUUACCUGGGGUGGGUGGGGGUGGGGGACUCCACAUUGCAGAGGGAGCAGUGUGUGGGUGGGCACCCGGGUGUGUGUUUUGGUCUUUUGGGGGAGGGGGUUUCAGUGCAAAAGGAUGAACAUAGCGUUUCUUCAUUUCUGUUAGAUUUACACAACUUGAAAUUAAGUGGGACUUUUUGCUAAUAGUACAGAGUCUUCCGUAGGAUACAUACUGGAUAAAUAUUUGUUAACUGAAAAACAUCUAUUGCUCUAAGCAAGUUAAACAUGCAUUUUGUAUCUUCCAGGACUUCGCCUUUGCUUGUAUUGCUUAGACACUUCACAUUAAGUAGUUACAAUGUACUACAAGGUAUUGGCAGGUCUCAGCCCUUAGUGAGUUUCCUGUAAACCACAGAUCAUAUAAUACAGACAUGAAGUGCUUUGGGAGAAAAAUUUAAAAAAAUUGCCUCCCAGAUUAGAUUCAGGUAUCUUUGUCAUUCUGGACGGUUUUAGGAGAGUGGUUGUUGUAGAAUUAAAAAACAAAAACCUUGUGAUUGAAUAACUAGGAGAAAAUAUCCUAAGGACAUAAGAUAGCAUUAGGAAAAUAAAUUGUUAAGCCUUCUUGAUUUAGAAGGAGUUCUGAUUGGAGAGAAUCAGGUUUUGUCACUUUACUAGCUGUGUAGCUGUACUCAAGUUUUGUAACUUCUGUGAACCUAAGUUUUCUUGAGUUUUACAGUUCUGUGAUUCUGACUGUCCCAAGAGAUAUGUCCUCUGAAAUAUAAAACUUACGCCUGGGUUGAAGUGUAUGGAAAGGCAGAGGUUUUGAAACAAAUAGUGGUAUAGUUGGCCUUACCUGAAAAGAACAUUUUUAAAAGAAUAAGGUCACGUGGGAGGCAUGAAUAAAGAUAAGAAAGCAGUGUUGUUAAAAAAAAAAAAAAUCCCAUGAUAUAAGGUUAAUAAAAUCAUAGAAUUUUCAACUUGGAAGUAGCUUUAGAAACUUUUAACUCCAAACCCAUUUUCUGGUGUAACCGAAUGCCUUCUAUAAGGCAUUGAACUAGACGUUGGCACUUUACCUAUGGAAACAAGGUAGAAGUCAAGGAGGGGCUUAAUGUAUAAAAUUAAGAGUCAGGAACUGAAGAAGAAUGACAGAAGUGAAAUGUAUUGAAGUUUCAAUAGUAAAAUAAAAAUUUUGGUACAUAUGAACAUUUUAGAUAUUAUGAAGGGUUAGAUGUGUUUGUCACUGAUACAAAUGUAGUAGAAGUAAAAGUCAACCAAAUACUUUGACAGAGAAGACAAAAACGAAAUCCUAGAGAAGUCAAAGUAUGAAGGAAAAAUAAAUAUGACUGAAAUAAUAUAUACGCUGGGGAAAUAAAGACCAUUGGUAAGAAUAUGGAAACUUAAGGCAUUUGGUUAGACUGAAAAUGAAUUAUGAAACUAAUAAUGAAAGCUUGCUGUCAUAAGUGUUUGAAAAACUUUGAAAGCCAAAAAUUGGAAUCAGAAGAGAUUUAUGAACACUGAGGAGAUAGACCGAUUUUACUGUAACCUUUUAAAUGUUUUGUAGCUGUCUUGGUGUUGAGAUGAUUAACAUGUCUUAACCAUAUUCAGAUUUCUUACAUGAUAGAAGAUUUAGCUUUUUUACACUAAUUUACUUUGUGAAUAUAAGUUGCCACAUUCCAGUUUUAUAACUGUCUUCUGACACUGUGUUUCUGUUUACUUGUUUGGGCUUUGCUCCCCUACAUUCUGCCCCUGAAUUUUACCAGUCUGAAUACUCAGGUCAGAUUCCACCCUGUGAAUAAGGUCAUCUUUUGUCAUUGUGGCCCUUAGGGAUCUCUCCUUCCCAUGACCAUAGCAUUAUAAUUUGUCUCACUUAUUUGACGUAUCACAUACAACUUCCUGACGUUCUCCCUACUGUAUUGGUUUUAAUUUUGCGGGAACACCUUUGGCUCUUCCCUUUUAGAAACAGUUGGGUGCACUUGGCUCCAUAGCUCAGGAGUUAGAGCACUGGUCUUGUAGAAACAGUUGGAAAGCUGAUCAAGUGAUGAAGGGGAAACCCAGAGAAGCGGAAGCCACUUUAAGCUAUAAUUUAUUCUCUGAACUCCAGGUCACUCACAUGCAUUGAUUCAUUAAAAAGAUUUAUUUAUUAAGAGAUUCCUUUAUUUAGUUCUUUAUUGUAUUGCAUAAUAAAUUUAUUUAUCCCUGCCUUUGUAGAAUUUACAGUCUAAUAGUGGGAACAGUCUAAUAAUGGGCAUGUAAAUAACAAAUGUAAGUUACUGUUUAUGAUGAAUUCAGUAAAGGAAAAGAAUGCUAUGAGAGAAAAAUGGGGAGGGUUUGAGAUUGGUCAGAGAAGGCCUCUUUUAGGUAGUGAUAUUUUUUAAGUCAAGACAAAGAUUAAGAAGCUAGAUAGGGAAAGGGUUUCUUGGAAGAGAAAAGAAUAUGAAGGCAAGAAAGAACUUAAUUAUGUUGGAAGAAAUGAAAGAAAUUCAAAGUGGCAGGAGUAUAAUAAUCAAGGAAAACCAUGUAAGAUGAGAGAUAGGCAGAGUGCAGAUCAUACAGGGCCUUGCAGGGCACAUUAAAGACUUGGGUUUUACUGAGGAUGUUACAGUGAGUCAUUGAAGAUUUUGAAGCAAAGAUUUUGAAUGCCUUAGAUUUUAAGACUAAUACUAGUUAAGAAUGGAUUAGAGAAAGGCGAAAUGGAAGCAAAGACUACUACGUACAGUCGUUGAGGUAAGAUGAUGGGAGCUGGCCCUAGGGUAGCAAUAUCAUCUAGUUUGAUAGAGCUGAGAGUCGCAGGGGAGUUGACAACUUCAUGACAGAUUGGAGGUUAAAGGAAAGGUGUCAGAGUGACCUCCAGGUUCCUGGCUUGAGGACCUAGAAAGAUGGUGGUGAGAUUUUCUGAGUUGAACAUGAGGGGAAAAAGAAGUUUGGCAAGAAAUUAAGCUUUGAACACCAUUCCAGGCAAGAGCUUUAGAAGGCAGAGUGAGGGGAGGGGGACUACCUUUAUCUGACCCAUCCGUGCCUCCGCUACAGUAGGUUUAGCUGUAUACGCAACACCACACCAUCACCGUACUCUUAGCGUGUAUGUUGAGAAGAAAAAGCAAGCUUCAUAUUUAUGUUAGAAGAAUUAGGAACUUGAAAUGAUCUUAAUUUUUAACAAUACACUUCAGUUUUUGAAAGUUGAUUUGUGAAAAAAGAUUUAAUACAGUUCUUUGUAAAAUGUAAUAAUACAGACUAUAUUAGAUAAGAAGGUUUGAGAAAAAAAAUUAACCUGAAUGUAGUAUCAGAUGGGUUUCGAUAUUAUUUGGGUGAUGGCACAGAAUACAAGUCUUGUAAUCUUGAUGUUCUCAAGAAAGUGGCACUCUUUAAAGUUAUUAGCUUGUAGGCAGCCUGAUAUUAAAUUUAUCAUUUUUAAUGAGGCCUCUGGUGCUUAUGAGUAAAAAUCCUAAGUGCAGGCCAUUAGGAGCUAUUAUUUAUCAAAUAACUGUAGAUGGUGAUAUUUCUUAUAAUUUGUCAUUACUAACUAAGCAAAUAGUAAGUUUUUAAAAAAAAAACUUUAAAACUUAAAAAAGAUUUUUUUUAAUGUUUAUUUUUGAGAGAGAGACAGAGCGUGAGGUGGGGAGGGGCAGGGAGAGAGAGGGAGACACAGAAUCCAAAGCAGGCUCCAGGCUCUGAGCUGUUGGCACAGAGCCCUAUGUGGAGCUUGAACCUGCAAACCAUUAGAUCAUGACAUGAGCCGAAGUCAGACGCUUAACUGACUGAGCCACCCAGGCGCCCUUAAAACUUUUUUUAACCAGCAAUUUUAAAUAUUGUUAUUGCCUCACAGGGACACAGUUUGAAAUCUGAAGGGAAAAAUAAAGAUCAUUUUUCUUGUUCAGUGGUUAUUUCAGUUUAGUUUACUUGACUAAGCAGCAGCAGUAUAAAGUAUAUUGAAUUUUAUUCUCUUAGAAAUCAAUGGCUAUGCUUCUGAAAGAUAACUGCUAAUAUAUCUUAUUCUUAUAUAAGAAGAAGGAAAAAAUGGUUCAGAUAAUGGUUAGGUUUCAUAUAUUUUACAUAAAUUUUGUUUUAUCUUAAAAUUUUGUGCUUUUUACAUACUGAAUAAAAGGUACUUUUUCAUGGAAUUAACUGGAAUUCCAUAUAUUUAUGUAUUUUGUAGUUAUCUUUGCAGUGUUUAUCUUUAGGCGAUUAAAUAUUUAUUCAUUAACAUUUUUUCUUCCAGUCAAGGAGCUGGACAGCUUUACCUAAAACAAACCUAGGAAUUAAAGAUUAUAGAUUUGGUGUACUGAUUCAGUCUGUUUUAUCGAUGAAGAAAUUGAGCUCCAGAGAAACUGAGUUGCCUGAGGUUUCUAGUAUUAAGGAAUAUUUUAUUUUAGAGGUUGCUUAAGUUAGUGAAUUCACUGACUACACUUAGUUCUAAUCUGGUGAGCACAUGUUAAAAUCAGUAGUAUACAAAGUUUACUUGAGUCCUUGCAGAGACCAUCCUAUAUUUGCUUACCAAUAUUGUUUUGAAUGACAUGUACUCUAAAUAAUGACAUAAAUACUUAUUUAUGAUUCAUCUUGUUUCCGUUAGGUUUUUUAUUUUUAUUUUUUGAUAAGUUAUGACAUUCAGAAAACUGUAUGAGUCAUAAGUUUAUAGCUUUAUGAUUUAUUACAAAGUAAACACAUCUCUGUGACCACUACCCAGGUCAAGGAAUAGAAUGUUACGGGCACUCCAGAAGCUCCUCUCUUCCUCCCUUCCAGUUAUCACCCUCUUUCAGCCUCCCAGAGGUAACUGCCAUGCUGACUUCUAAAACCAAAGAGUAGUUUUGGCUGUUUUUUGAGCUUUAUGUAAGUGAAAUCACAUGGUAUGUGGUUUUUUGCUUAAUAUUAUGUCUGAAACUAAUUUGUGUUUUUCUGUGCAGAAGUAGUUCAUUCAUUCUCAUUGCUAUUGAUUCUAAUGGAUGAUGGACAUGUUUUCAGUUUGGAACUGUUAUGAAUAAUACUGAUACGAACAUUUCUGUACAUGCCUUUUGGUGGGCACACAUAUGCACACAUUUCUGUGGCAUAUAUAUUUCUAGAAGUGGAAAAGCUGGUCAUGGGUAUGCAUAUAUUCAACUCUACCAAUAAAGCCAUAUCAUUUUCCAGAUUUGUUGUUCCAGUUUAUGCUCCUUUUAGCAGUGUAUGAGAAUGCCAGUUACUUUAUAUUCAGUUAUGUGGUUUGAUUAAAAUACUAUUACAUGGUAUUUGAAAAAUCUUGUGCUAUUUUAAAAAAAUCUCCAAUGGUGGAUAUUUGGUGAUGAAUAGCUAUUUCUUCCUAAAUGAGACAUAGUAUAAAGAAAUAUGAAGUAGCAAAUCUAAAGAUUUUCAGUCCACAAAUGAGUACCUAUGGUGUGCCUGUUGGAUUACAGCAUAUUCAAACAAAACAUAGUUUUUUGUUUUCAAAGUUAUAGUCAAAUAACUUCUAAAAGAUAACUUCUGAUAUAUCUUAUUCUCUUAUAAGAAGAGGGAAAAAGUGUUAGGAUAAUGAUUAAGUUUCAUAUACUUUGCAUAAAUUUUUUUUUCCAAAAUUUUUUUUAAUGUUUAUUUUUGAGAGAGGGAGAGACGACAGAGUGUGAGCUGGGGAGGGGCAGAGAGAGAGGGAGACACAGAAUCCAAAGCAGGCUCCAGGCUCUGAGCCAUCAGCCCAGAGCCUGACGCGGGGCUCGAACUCACGGACCGCGAGAUCAUGACCUGAGCUGAAGUUGGACGCUCAACCGACUGAGCCACCCAAGUACCCCAAAUUUUGUUUUAUCUUAAACAGUGUCUUUUCUUGAUCCUUAAAAAUAUUUGGUUGUGGAAUACAGUGAAUAGUACAGCAUUUUAGGGGAUAUCGUUUGGAAAGAAUGAAAAAAUAACAUGUGUCUAUAACUUAAAGAAAUCUUGAAGGAAAUGGGAAAGAACUUUUGGUCAAAGUGAAUUUGGUAACUAUUAGGUGAAAUGUACAUGAUACUUUGAAAGAAGGCCCUGGGGAAGGAGGAGGGAAAGUAUUAUAAGGUUGUGUAUUAUUCCUGAGACGAAUGGUGGGUGUUGUGUCAGGAAUGACCAAAGCUCGAAGUGCUACUAACAGGGACAUGCAUCAUUAGGUAAAUAGGGACCCCAGCUAUUGCUUCCUUGGUAUGCUUGUGGUCAGAUACUUCAAGGAAGGCAAUGAGAUGCUAUAUGGUCUCAUUAAAGUAGUGGGAAAUUGAGUUUUAUAUCUUUAUUUUAUAUCAGUAGUAAGAAAAACAUUUUAAAUAAUUUAUAGUAUUCCAAAAAAAAAAAAUGGAAUUGAGUUUCUGAAGGAUUUGAAUGUGAAAUCUCAUUUUAGAAGACAUGUUGACGAAGAUGUGUCAACAUUUGACUAAAUUCGAAAUGCUAAGUGGAUUUGAUAGAAAUAAAGUGACUGCAUAGAAACUUAAGUCUAUUACACUACCUUAAAUGAAUCAGAAAGGCAAGGGGAGCUAUAAGAAAGGAAAUCCAAGAUAGUGUGUGUCAUAGAAGCUGAAAUAAUUUCCAGAAGGCAGAGGGGUUACUUGAACUGAGUUCAGAAAACAUUUAAACAGCUUUUGUUAUGGGCCAAGCAGGGUCAUAGCUGGUACCAUGGAUGAAUGAGUCACGGGCCUUGUUCUUUGAGCAUUUGGUGCCUAAAUAGUAUAUGAUAGUUGCAGACACAUGGAUGAUUGGAGGCUUCUUAUAGAAGGUUGUGUUUUUGAGGUUAGCUUCUGUCACUUGGUUAGUGGUGGCAAGUGUUUCCUAGUGGUCAGAGGGAUUGAGAGAACAUUUGGAUUUGUCUAGGAACUUAUUAGUCGCCCUUCAAAGUAUAGUUGCAGUAUUUUUAUGGGAGCAGAGACUAAAAUACAAGAGGUUAACAGGUAAGUGGGUAUUUGGAAAAUGGAGGCAGUGGAUCACUUAUUCUCAGUAUUUGUCACUGAACAGAAGGAAGGAUAGACAUGAGAUGAUUUUGUUUGUACCUUUUUGUUAAGGUAGGUCUGGAGACCCACUGCUAAGUUAAAAAGGAAGCAGGUAAUUGCAAGGGAAUGAUUAAAGAUCCUAAACAGAGUUGAAAUGUAUGUGGGUAGAAGUUGCUUAAAAGCUAGAUGGAAUGGUAAUAAGAGGUGAAAGGUUUACUGACUCUUUGGAAAAGAGUCAGUCAUACUUCCUCUUCUGAGAAUCACUAGAAGAAAAAGACCAGAUGCAAAGAGAGAUACAUGCUUCUGAAAAGAUGAUUGGUGAGUUUCAACUGGAAAACCUCAGAAGACUAAGGAAGAGGCAAAAUUAUCCUUGGGUGAGAUUGGGGAAGUUCCAGUUGAAGGCUUGGGGAGAGAAAACAUAGAGAUGGCCUACAGCAUAGGGAAAUAAAUCUAGACAUUUCUGAGCAAAAGAAAGCAUGGACCAUACUGAAGGUACAGGUUGGUAUUAGAACUGUACCAGGCAUAUAGUAAAUACUAUAAAUAUGCAAAAUAUUAAUUGGAUUGAAUUGGACUGAGAUCUAGAGGUCAAAUUACAGUGGUGUUAAUAUAGUAUGGUGGGUUGAGCAAAUGGUCAUGAGAAUAUUGAAGAUGAGGGGGACAGCAUGAGAGAUUAUUAGCGAAGAAUCUGAGUAGGUGUGGAGAAGCUUAAUGGUCAUGGGAGAGUUUGACUCUUGGGAAAUCAGAAACAAGUUGACAGGUUUGAGAGGGAAAGCUGCAUUUACUAUGUGCCUACUAUAUUUUAGGAACUUUGAAUGUAUUUCUAAACCAUGCAACAACCCUGCAAAUUAGGUGAUAAUAAUCAACUUGGGUCUCAAUUUUUAGUGUAUUUUAGACUUUAGAAAGUUGUGCGUUUAAGUCAAUUUCCUGUUUUUGAUAUUAAAUGAAAUUUAUUUGGCUUUAUAAUACAUAUUUAUGCUUAAUUUGAUUAGGGAUAUGAUUGAUGUUUAGGACUACUUCAGUUAAACAACUUGACUCCGUGGCAACCGGGAAAUUUAUAAUCUGUUUUCAGUAUCAGCCCUGAAUUAUCCUCAGUCACCUUUUACCAAGAGUAGAGAUGAGAUUAUGUUUCAAAGAUUUCCCUUUCUGUAAGAUGCAAAGCAAGACUAAAUUAAGUGUGAAUGCCAAUAAAGUAAGUAAUUGAGUUUAGUAAAUCAUUAUCUGCAGACGGAGAUGUUAACAUAAACAUUAAAAUGAAUGCUAUUUACAUUACUGAUUUUCAGGUCUUUUAAAGCAAGGAGUCCCCCCCCCCUUUUUUUUAAAGAUUUUAUUUUUAAGUAAUCUCUACACCCAAUGUGGGGCUCAAAUUUACAACCCUGAGAUCAAGACUCCAUGCUCUACCAAUUGAGCCAGUCAGGUGCCCCUGAAUCCCUUGUUUUUUUAAAAAUCCUACUAGAAAGCUCAAUCUGUAAGAUACAUAAAAACAGAAUACUCAGGGUGAAAUAUUUUAUUGGUGGGGUAGUGGGGGAGGGGGAGGUCCAAUCUCUUACUUUCAGUGACUAAAGAUUACCCAGUGCCUUAAAGAGCACAGAUUGCAAACUGUUUACAGUGUUUUAUGUGGAUUAUUAUACAAUAGUUCUAUGAGAUAGUACUAUUAGUAUCCCCAUUUUACAGGUGAAGAAACUGAGCUUCAAAAUGAUUAUGUGAUUUGCCUAAGAUUACACAGCUAGUAAGUGAUAAAGCCAAGAUUCCAUGCUUUCACUAGUCUUAUUUUCAGAGCCCGUACUUUAACUGCUCUGCUAUACAGAACCCUUUGUAGAAUCACUUCUCAAUGAAAAUAGGAUUCUUUGAGGGAUAAUUGGGAAUUAAACUUUAUUUUUAUUUUUUUUAAAUUUUUUUUUAAUGUUUGUUUAUUUUUGAGAGAGAGAGAGACAGAGACAGAGCUCCAGAGGCAGAAGGGCAGAGAGAGAAGGAGACACAGAAUCAAAGCAGGCUCCACGUUCUGAGCUGUCAGCACAGAGCCUGAUGCGGGGCUCGAACUCACGAACCAUGAGAUCAUGACCUGAGCCGAAGUCGGCCACUUAACCGACUGAGCCACCCAGGCGCCCUGAGAAUUAAACUUUAAAUUGGAUCACUGAGGCAUUUUUUAUGGUAAAAUAUACAUAACAUAAAAUAUACUAUUUUAAACAUUUUUAAGUGGACAGUUCAGUGGGAGCUUCUUAAAGCCAUAAAAAAUGAUAUGUUGUUGCUUAAAAGAAUGGUUUUGAAUCUCAGCUUUGGGGUAACUAUUAAGGGUUGAUGAGUUUUGUUUUAUGUUAUGACAUUAUUGAAUUCUUGAAAGCAUUUGAGUAUUUACUGUGUGCCAGGAAUUGUGCUGGUAGAUGCUAGGGAUAUAAAGAUGAAUAAGAACUAAUCUCUGCAUUCAUCUUUAGUAGACAAGACAGACUUACUAAAUUAGACCUUCUAAAGUAGACAUUCUAGGUGUACUACUAGACCCAGAACAGUAAUACGGUGUGUAAGUUAUGGGAAAAUGAGUGCUUACCAGUUCAAGGAGAGAGAGAGAGAGAGAGAGAGAGUGUCUGUGUGUGUGUACACGUACAUUUACAUACAGGCUUCCUAGAAGUAGUAGAACUUGAGUUUAAUCUAAAAGACAUUACUUAUCAAGUGGAGGAAGGUGGGAGGUGGGGGGUCAGUGUUGUAGGCGUAGAGAACUUCUUGUACAUAUUAAUGGAGAUAGGAGAAAGUUUGAAUUCAGGCCAACAUUUCAACAUGGUUGAGCAUGGAUUACCUAUGGGAGAAGAGAAGCAAAUAAGGGUGGAGGGGCAUUGAUAUCUUUAGGAAGAGAAUAAAAAGAACAAGUAUAUAUGUUAGGAGGGCGAAGGCAGAUAUAGGCAUAUGAUGAUACUGUUGAUUUGUAUAAAUAUUUUUUAAAUCAUUUGGAAACUAAGUACAAUCAGAUAUAACAGGCUUGGAUCUUAGCAGUUUUUGAGCAAAUUAAUGUAGCGUCAUCAGUUCUUAGUUCUGCAGGUCAGUGAGAGGGAAAUACAUAUCUGUCGAGCAUUUACCAUGUUUUGGGACUUGGGAUCUGUUCUUCUGAACUCUGGAAUAACCCUGUCAAGUAGAUGAUCACCUAAGGGAAACAGACUGAGAGGUUCCAAGAACUGCUCAAGGUUAUGCAGUUUAGAGAGAUGGCAGUUGGAAACCUUGGGGUCCUUCAGCUCUACAUUUGCUGCUGACUUACCUUUGCCACAUAUGGUCCUAAUUGACUAGUGAAUCUAUUUUAUUAUUAAACAGUUGAAGUUAGAUAUAUUGCAGUGAGAUUAAUCCAAAACAUGUUGAUGAUACAUACAGCAGAGUUAAGGAUGGGAUUUAAUAGAACAGUAUAAACAAAUACAGAGAUUGGCAUAUAAGACAUUAAAGUCUUUUAUUCUAUGGGCUUCUUUCAUGAUUUUGUGUAUUGUACAUUAAUAGAACAACCUCAGGAUUUAAUUGUUAGUUAGCUGUUGAAAAUAAUUUAGAAGGAUGUCCUUCUGGAUAACUUUCAAAUUGGUGUAUAUUUUUAUUGGGUUCUAAUUUUUGCUAAUACUCAUGUUGUUAUAUGUUAAGGUCAUAUUAGCCUGAAAAAUUAAAAGAUGAGGAUAUUUCUACAACUUAAUAGAAUGACUGUCUUUCACAUAAGUUUUUAAAGGAAUUUUACAUAUAGAAGGUAAUAAUUGAUGUCUUCAAGAGGAGGAAAAAGCAUGGUCUUUUUAAAAUUAAAAACUUAAAAAUUUAAUUUCAGUAAGUUUUUAUUUUAGAAUAUGGGGCCCCACCACUUUAAGUCUUCCUUGCUUUUUUUCCUUGAUGAGAAUUUUAAGCUUUUUUUCCUGCUGGAGCUUACAUCUCUAGUUUGGUUGGGGUAAUUUUUUAAAAAUUUCUUUCUUGGAAGUCUAUAGAAUUUUUAGAACUUUUGAAUAUGUGAAUGGAAAGUAAACUACAGUAUACAAUGUUGAGUUAUAAGAUACCUUCACAGGCAUCUUAUCGAAACCUGUCAUUGAUGAGGAAACUGAAGUCCAGAGGGCUAACUGUGUCGUCACACAUUCAGUUACUGUCAGAGAUUAGAAUUUUGGUCUCCUGAUAAGGGAAAAACAAAUAAUAGUAAUAGGUUUUAGUCUGUAGUUCGGGGUAAUGAAUUUUUUCUUUUGGAUCCUGUUAGCCUACUUUGAAAAUGUCUGUGUAGGCUUAUAAGUAACUGUUAGGUAAAUUAAGAAGAGACAUAUUUAAUAUCCAUAUUAAAGAAUUACUUUCAGAGUACUUUGGGUAGAAGUUUUCUUUUUUUAUUUUCUUUUAUUUUUAAAAAUUUAUUUUUGAGAGACAGAGACAGAGAGACAGAAUCUGCAGCAGGCUCUAGGCUGUCAGCACAGAGCCCGACUCGGCUCGAACCCAAGAACUGUGAGAUCAUGACCUGAGCCAAAGUCAAACACUCAACAGACUGAGCCACCCCCAGGUGCUCCUUGGGUAGAAGUUUUCUAACCAUUUGAGGGCUGAAAAUUGGGUCACAGUUUGUGAUUUGCUAUCCAGAUGUCUUUUAUUACUGCACUUCCCAUGUAAAACUGAACAUACUACCAAAGGGUAGAUUCUACAGCAUGUCAUGCUUCUUAUUCAAAAAGAACUUGAGAAAUACUUGGGGGGGAGGGGAGCAAUAAACAAUGGGCCAUAAUACACAUGCACUGGAAUAUUAUUCAGCCUUUAAAAGAAGGGCAAUUCUGAAACAUACUACAAAAUGGAUGAAUCUUGAGGAGAUUAGGCUAAGUGAAAUAACCCAGUCACAUGCAAAUACUGUAUGGUUCCACUUAUGUCAGGUAUCUAGAAUAGUCAAAUUCCUAGAAAGAGAAAGUAGAAUGGUGGUUGCCAGGGAUGUGGGGAGGGAGAAAUGAGGAAUUGUUUAAUGGAUGCAUGGUUUCAAAUUUGCAAGAUGAAAAAGAGAAUGUGUGCACAAUGUGAAUAUAUGUUAAAAGGUUCUGAAUUGUACCCCUAAAAAAUGGUUAACUAAGGUUGUAAGUUUUUUGCUUAUAUAUGUUUUACCGUAAUUAAAAAUAAAAAAUAUUUUUUACAUGGACCAUAAACUCCAAUGUCCAGGUAACCAGUGUUGCCAUUUUUUGAAAAAAACUUUCAUGUAAGAUUUUUUAAAAGAACAAAAACAAUUUCUGCCUUAUGAAGCAUUCCCUCUCCCCAACCAAAAAGAAAAAUUGGUCCAUUCCAUGAGUAUUUAUUGACUACUUACUAUAUUUUGUAUACUUAUUAUAUACUUAUAUAAUAAGUACUAGGGAUACAUCAUAUAAAAAUUUUCUUUUUUUUUUUAAAUUUUUUUUUUUACAUUUAUUUAUUUUUGAGAAACAGAGUGAGACAAAGCGUGAACGGGGGAGGGGCAGAGAGAGUAGGAGACACAGAAUCUGAAGCAGGCUCCAGGCUCUGAGCAAGCGGUCAGCACAGAGCCUGAUGCGGGGCUCGAACCCACGAACUGUGAGAUCAUGACCUGAGCCGAAGUCGGACACUCAACCGACUGAGCCACCCAGGCGCCCCCAUAUAAAAAUUUUCGACGUAGAACUUACAUUUUAUGGGAAGCAUAAACUUUAAACGUGACAAAUAUAUAAAAUAUAUAGAAUGUUAGCCAGUGCUAAGGUAGAAAAAUAAAGCAGGGAAGGGGAAUAUCCCGUAUGGGACAGGAAAUGGGGACAUUUCACUUAUUUAUUUUUAAUGUUUAUUUAUUUUGAGAGAUAGAGAGUGAGGGGGGGGGCAGAAAGAGAGGGAGACAGAGAAUCCAAAGCAGGCUUUGCACCGUCAGCAUGGAGCCUAAUACAGGGCUCAAACCCACCAGCUGUGAGAUCGGGACCUGAGCCAAAAUCAAGAGUCAGCGCUUAACCAACUGAGCCACCCAGGUGCCCUGGAAAUGGUGACAUUUUAGAUAGGGUGGUCAAGAAGGGCCUCAGUGAGAAAGUUACUUUUGAGGAAAGAACUGGAUGGAAUGAAAGAAGACUGUACAUAGCAAGUGCAAAGGCCUUGAGGAAAAAACAUGUCUGGCUUUUUUAAUUAAAAAUAUUUUUUAAGGGGUGCCUGGGUGGCUCAGUCGGUUGAGCGUCCUUCUUCGGCUCAGGUUAUGAUCUCACAGUUUAUGAGUCCUGCAUCGGGCUCUGUGCUGACAGCUCAGGGCCUGGAGCCUGCUUCCGGUUCUGUGUCUCCUCUCUCGCUGCCCCUCCCCCACUUGUGCUCUGUCUCUCCCUGCCUCUCAAAAAUAAAGAAACGUAAUAAAAUUGUUUUUAAUAUUUUUAAAAGUUUAUUUUGCAAGAAUGAGUGAGCAGAGGAGGUGCAGAAAGAGGGAGAGAGAGAAUCUCAAGCAGGCUCUUCGCCGUCAGUGCAGAGCCUGACGCAGGGCUCUAUCUCACAACCAUGCCCUGAAAUCAAGAGUUGGUCCUUUAACCAACUGAGCCACCCAGGUACCCUUUAAUAAAAAAUAUUUUUAAAUUUAAAUUAAAUUUUUAAUGUGUUAUGUGUAAAAUUCAGUGGCAUUAUUUCCACUGACAAUAUUGUGUAACCUUCACUACUGUCUUCCAUUUCUUCCCUACCUCCCUAAACAGAAACUACUCAUUAAGAGAUAACUCCUUAUUUUUCCCUCUCCCUAGCCUCUGGUAAUCUCUAAUCCUUUUAUCUUUAUGAAUUUGCCUAUUCCACAUAUUCUAAAUAUUUUGUAUAGUGGAAUCAUAUAAUAUUUUCCCUUUUGUGUCUACUUAUUAUACUUAGCAUAAUGUUUUCUAGGUUCAUCCACAUUGUAGCAGGUAUCAGAACUCUAUCCCCUUUUUAUGGUUGGAUCACAUUCCAUUUUAGGUAUCUACCAGAUUUUGUUCAUUCGUCUGUUGAUGGAUACUUGGACUGUUUUCAACUUUUGGCUGUUGUGAAUAAUGCCGCUAUGAACUUUUGCAUAUAAAUAUUUGGGUCUCUGUUUCUAAUUCUUUGGGGUGUAUAGUUUGUAUCUAGAAGUAGAAUUCCUGGGUUAUAUGGUAAUUCUUUAACUUUUUAAGGAACAACCACACUUUUUCAUAGUGGCUGUGCCAUUUUACAUUACUAAUGGCAAUGUAGGAGUAUUCCAACUUUCCCACAUCUUUUCAAACACUUAUUACUUUUCAUUUUUAAAAUAAUAUUCCUAGUAGUUGUGAAGUGAAAUCUUAUUGUGAUUUUGAUUUGCGUUCUCCUAAUGACUGAUGUUGAGUAUCUCUGUUAAUUGGGCAUGCCUACAUCUUCUUUGGAUAAAUGUUUAUUGAAGUCCUUUGUCCAUUUUAAAAUUGGGUUGAGUAUAGUAGUGAGUUUUUGGGAGUUCUUUAUAAAUUCUAGAUAUUGGGGCGCCUGGGUGGCUCAGUCGGUUAAGCGGCUGACUUCGGCUCAGGUCAUGAUCUUGCGGUCUUUGAGUUCGAGCCCUGCGUUGGGCUCUGUGCUGACAGCUCAGAGCCUGGAGCCUAUUUCAGAUUCUGUGUCUCCCUCUCUCUGACCCUCCCCCAUUCAUGCUCUCUCUCUGUCUCAAAAAUAAAAAUAAACAUUAAAAAAAAAUUUUUUUUAGAAAUAAUAAAUUCUAGAUAUUAAACUUUUAUCAGAUACAUGAUUUGCAAAUAUUUUCUCCCAUUCUGUGGGUUGUCUUUUUACUCUGUUGAUAGUAUUCUUUGGUGCACAAGUUUUUAAUUUUUAUGAAGUUCAAUUUAUCUUUUUUUCUUCUUUUAUUACCUGUGCUUUUGAUAUUAUAUUUAAGAAACCAUUGCUAAUCCAGAGUCAUGAAGAUUUGCCCCUAUGGUUUCUUCUAAUAGUGUUAGUUUUAGCUCUUAAAUUUAGAUCUUUGAUAUAUUUCAGUUGAUUUUUUUUAUGGUGUAAGGUAAGAGUUCAGCUUUAUUCCUUUGCAUGUGGCUCUCCAGUUUUCCCAACAUCAGUUGUAGAAGAGACUAUUUUUUCCCCAUUGAAAAACUGUCAAAAAUCAGUUGACCAUGUGAAGGUUUAUUUUUGGACUUUCCCUACUAUUCCAUCAGUCUAUAUUGUCUAUCCUUAUGCCAAUACCACAUGUUUUGAUUACUGUAGUUUUGUGGUAAGUUUUGAAAGUGGGAAGUGUGGGUCUUCCAACUUUGUUCUUUUUCAAUAUUGUUUUGGCUCUUCUGGGUCCCUUGAAAUUCCAUAUGAAUUUUAGGAUCAGUUUUUUUGUAUAUGCAAAAAAAUCAUUGGAAUUUUGAUAGAAAUUGCAUUGAAUGUAUAGAUUGCUUUGGGUAUUAAUGUCAUCUCAACAAUAUUAAGUCUUCCAGUCCAUGUACACAGGAUGUUUUUCCAUUUAUUUAGAUCUACCUUAAUUCCUUUCAGCAGUGUUUUGUCUUCAAAACAAUGUAUAGUCUUCAGUGUACACAUCUUACAUGUCUUUCAUUAAAUUUAUUCCUAAGUAUCUUAUUUUCUAAUGUUAUUGUAAAUGGAAUUGUUUUCUUUCUUCCUUUCUUUCCCUUUCUAUUUUAUUUUUAAGUAAUCUCUAUGUUUAAGUAAUUCUUUCUUGUCCUUUCCUUUCCUUUCCGUUUCGUUUCGUUCCGUUCCUUUCCUUUUUAUUCACACCCAAUGUGGGACUUAGGCUCACAACCCUUAGGUCAAGAGUCACACACUCUACCAACUGAUCCAGACAGGUCCCCCAAUGGAAUUGUUUUCUUUAUUUCCUUUACAUAGUGUUGAUUACUGUCUCACAGAAAUACAACUGUUUUUUCUGCAUAGAUUUGUAUCCUACAGUUUUGCUGAAUUUGUUUAUUAGCUCUAACAGUUUGUGUGUAUGUUUUCUACACACAUACAAGAUCAUGUAAUCUGUGAACAGAGAUAAUUGUACCUUUUCCUUUCUAAUUCAGAUGGCUUUUCUUUUACUUUCUUGCCUGUUUUCUCUGGCUAGAUCCUUCAGUCUACGUUGAAUACAAGUAGUGAAAGUGGGCAUCCUUGUCUUGUUCCUGAUUUGGAGACAAAAGCUUUCAUUCUGUUACUGUUGAGUUUGAUGUUAGGUGUUAAGUUGUUUAUAUAGGGCCUUUAUCAUAUUGAGGAAAUUCCUUUCUAUUCCUAUUUUAUUAAGUGUUUUUAUCAUGAAAGGGUGCUGGAAGGGUAGUAGAUUUUGUCAUAUGCUUUUUUUGCAUCAAUUGAUAUGAUGAUGUUCUUUUACCAUCUUUCUAUUCAUGCAGUGUAUUAUAUCGAUUGACUUUUGUAUGUUAAUUACCUUUACACGUGUAGGAUAAUUCUCACUUUUUCAUAUAAUACACCGUAUAUGUACAUAUAUGUAUAAAAUGCUGUGGGAUUUGGUCUGCUAAUAUUUUGUUGACAAUUUCUCCAUCUAUGUUUAUAAGAGAUAUUAGUCUUUAGUGUCUUGUUUUUUGGUUUUGAGUUUUUUGCCUUGUGAUGUCUUUGGCUUCAUUAUCAGGCAUAAUGUUGGUCUCACAAAAUGAGUUAGAAAGUACUUCUACCUUUUUAUUUUUGUGGAACAAGUUGAGAAGAAUUAGUGGUGUCAAUUCUUUAAGUAUUUGGUAGAGUUCACUAUUAAAGCCAUCUGGUCCUGGACUUUUGUCCAGGGAAGUUUGGGAAGUUUUUGAUUACAGAUUCAAUCUUAUUUGUUAUAGGUCUAUUUAGAUUUUCAGUUUCUUUUUGAGUCAAUUUUUGUAGUUUACAUGUCAUGUAAUUUGUUCAUUUCAUCUAAGUUUAUCCAAUUUAUUGGUGUGUAGUGUUCAUAUUAUUCUUAUUUAAAAAGGACUUAUUCUUAUAUAAAAAGGACUUAUACAGUACUUCUAUAGUCUUAUAAGAUAUGUAAUAUCCUCUCUUGUUUCUGUUUUUAGUAAUUGGGAUCUUGUCAAUUUUGUUGAUCUUUUCAGAGAACUAAUGUUAAAUUUAAUUGAUUUUCCUCUUUUGUUUUUCUCUUCUUUAUUUCAUUUAUCUCUGCUCUAUUAUUUCUUUCUGCUUCCUUUGCAUUUAGUUUGCUUAUUGCUUUUUAAAAAAAAUUUUUUUUAAUGUCUAUUUUUGAGAGACAGAGUGUGAGCGGGGGAGAGGCAGAGAGAGAGGGAGACAUUGAAUCCAAAGCAGGCUCCAGCCUCCUAGGUGUUAGCAGAGAUCCCGAGGCGGGGCUCAAACCCACGAACCUCGAGAUCAUGACCUGAGCCAAAGUCAGGUGCUCAACCUACUGAGCCACCGAGGUGUCCCAAGUUUGCUUAUUUUUUUAAGGUGUACAGUUAGGUUAUCAAUUUGAGAUUUUUUUUAAUGCGGUUGUUUACAAGUAUAAAUUUCCCUUAGACCAUUGCUUUUGCUGCAUCAUAACUUUUGCUUGUGUUUUCAUUUUUAUUCAUCUGAGGGUAUUUUCUAGUAUCUCUUUAUUUUUUAUAUAGGAUUUUUCACAUUUCAAUAAGCUGGAAAAAUUUUUGCUGAUAGCUUUGAAAAGAGAAGCUGUAGGGGAGACAUAAGUCUUCAAGAAUUUGAAGGUUGUCAUAAUUAGGUUUGUUUUAAACAAUCUUAAAGUACAUGCCUAGGAAGGCAGGAGGAAAAUUGAACUUCUAAAGAAAUUUUUAACAGAUAUUCAAGUAGUUUCCUUAACAGGGACUGUUCUAGAAGUUCAUAGACCUUUUUUUUCUUUUUUUUUUUUAAACAAAGAAAUGGUAAAUUGAAGUUUGCCAGCUUUUUAUUUUGCCAAGUAAAGAUAUUCUUUAAAAUGACAGAUAAAUAUUUCUAGGUACAACUUAAGUGUUUUGGUCACUGUUAUUGAGAGAGUUGCUAUUUGCUAUCCAAAAAUAACUUUAAAUUUUACCACAGUAAAAAAGUUAAUCAAGUGUUAGGCCAGAGAAAUUUUGAACAGUGAAAUAGCUCCCUAUUGCCUCUAGGAUAAAGUCCAGAUUUCUUAACAUGGCUAAUUUAAAGCCUUAGAUAUCUGACCUCUGCUUGCCUCUCAACAUCUCUGUUUUGGCUAGUAGUAUGCUCUGGCCACACUACACUAUUGAGUAGUUCUCUAAAUGCUAAGUCCUCCUUUACCUCUGGGCAUUUCUUGUAGUGUUUCCACUGUGUCCUUGCCAGUUUUAGGAAUAAUGCAAGAGAGUGAAAGGAUUGUAAAACACCUGUUUCCUAUUUUAAUAGGGGUUACCACUUCCUUUAUUUAAUACAGUACUUUAUAAUUCACCUUUGAGGCAGACAGGACUGUAGUUAAUAGUUUGUGUUGUUAUGUUAUUUGUUUUCUGUUUUUUGGGUUUUUUUGUUUUUGUUUUUGUUUUUUUACAGAUGAAAACAAAUAGUGUGUGAUCUUCUCAAAAUCAUACAGCUAGGAAGUGGAAGAGGCAGGACUCUGGUCUAUGUUUCGUUUUAGGUAUCAUGUUCUUCCUAAUUCUUAUGCAGUCAUCCACUGAUUCAGCAAAAAUUUAUUGUGUGCCUACUAAGCUAGGCAACAUACUAAGGAUACGAGGAUGAUAAAGGUGUUCCUUUUUUUUCCCGAGGGUAUAUAGUCUAGUGGAGAGAAAAUAAAAAGAAAUAUAAUACAGAUUUAUAAUGGAGUGUUAUUUGUAGUAUGCACAGGUUACUAGACAGUUGAAUCAGGUGAUUCUGAAGCUGAAUUUUCUCCAAAUAUAAAUUUGAAAUAGCUAUGAGUAGCUCAUAAACAAAGUAAAAAUUAAUGUAGCACAAAUUUAAUGUAUAGAAAUGCUGAAGAGAUGACUAAUAGAAAACUAAUAAUUUGGUAGGGAUCAGUGCUCUUCGUAUUAAAUGGGAUGAGACUCUUAAUGUGUAGAAUUUACUGGGAAGACUAAUUCAUUUAGUAGAAAAAUAUUGAGAGAUUUAUUUGGAGAAUACAGAGAUGUCUUGGAAAGAAAGCAACUGUUAGAUAUUGAGGAAGUCAAUUUACAAUUGAAGUAUGUUUAUAUACAUAAAUCCUGUUUCAGAACUCAUAUUCAAUGAUUUUGUUUUUACUCUUAAGGCCCAGUUCGAGUGUUAGCUCAUCUCUAUGCCUUUGCCGAUCUUCUCCAGAAAUAAUUAACUGCGAUCUAAUCUGUGCCACCAUAACAUAGUGCUGUGUAUACAUCUCUGCUAAGGCAUAUAUCACUGUGUGUUUAUGUGUUUUCUUCCCCUCUGGAUUAUGAACUUUGUGAAGGCAGGGAUUCUGUCCUUUUGAUGUUUGAAUCCGUUUUGUUUGAUCCUCAGGUCAUUGGCAUCCAGUAAAUAUAGAAAUGAAGAUAGAGAAGUAAUUUCAUUUUGAUUCUAAAUACUUGUCUCAACCUUAGAAGAAUUCUGUCCCCCAAAUGUAUUCUUUUAAUGUACUUAAUCGAUAAGGCCCCCUACAGCAGUACUCCCAACUUACGUUUCUGCCUUUAUUUUCUACUUUUCUUCCUUUGUUAUAUACCCUCUGCAGUGGUCAUACUGUACUUACUUCCUUCAUGCUAUUUCUUUAUUCCUGAAUUCUUUGACCUUCCCUUCCAGUCCUUUUCUAAUAAGACUUCUUCAAAUGCUAACUGUUCCAAGAAGUUUUUCCUGAAUAACUUGCCAAAAAUGUUAUUUUUAUAAAUUAUCUUCUCGAUGAACCUGUGCCUCUCUUAGGACACAGUUACCAUAUUUUAUUCAAUAUGUACUGUGUUUUUCUUGUGCCAUUCCCCCCUUUUUCCUCCAUUUAAAUUCUGAACUUCCUGAGGGCAGAAACUUUUGCAGUUUCUACAGAGUUGCUUUGGAUAUAAUAGACAGUCCAUAAAUAUUUGCCUAAUUAAACAACAAGUUAAAACAAGCUUGAUGUGAUAUUUUCAUAAAGUUAGAAAAUGGUACAUUUACAGAAUAAAUUACAACACUAGAUCUUAAGAACUUAAAUGAGCCUUGUGUCAAUUGUAGAAUAAACUGUUCAAAUCAGAAAACAUGGCUUUAUUAGAUUUUUUGUGCAUUUUUUCAUAGUUCACCUUCAGUCUCAGUUUUUAUAACUAAGGUCAACUACUUACAUAUAUCUUAUCACAUAUGGAAUCUGUAUCUUCUUAGUAUAGUAUUGGUGUUUACAUUAUUAGAUGUUCCUCUUAUGUACUUACUUUUAGCAAAGCACAAGUAAAGUGCUGAUAAUGUUCUAUUUACAUGUCUAAAUUCCCUCAGGUAUCAAUUACUACUUAUCAUCGAGUUUGUGUAGGUUGUUGUUUAUCCAUAAAUGUUUAUUGGAUGAGAAAAUGGCAAACUUGUUCUUUUUUUUUUAAUGUUUUAUUUUUUUUUUAAUUUUUUUUUAUGUUUAUUUUUGACAGAGAGAGAGAGACAGAGCAUGAGCGGGGGAGGGGCAGAGGGAGAGGGAGACACAGAAUCCGAAGCAGGAUCCAGGCUCUGAGCUGUCAGCACAGAGCCCGACGCGGGGCUCGAAUUCACAGACCGCAAGAUCAUGACCUGAGCUGAAGUCGGACGCUCAACCGACUGAGCCACCCAGGCGCCCCUGUUUUAUUUAUUUUUGAGAGAGAGAGAGAGAGACAGACAGAGCGUGAGCAGGGGAGGGGUAGAGAGAGAGGGAGAAACAGAAUCCAAAGCAGGCUCCAGGCUCUGAGCUGUCACCGUAGAGCCUGAUGUGGGGCUCAAACCCAUGAACCAUGAGAUCACGACCUGAGCCGAAGUCGGAUGCUUAACUGACUGAGCCACCCAGGUGCCCCCAAACUUGGUUUCUUAAUUAAAAUGUCUACUUCUCCCAUAUUUUUGUUAAGCUUCAGGUUAUAUAAAUGUAGAAAACACUCUGCUUUAGCAUAAUUUACCAUCAUGUACAAAAUUGCAAAGACUGUACCAGUUCUUUCCUGUAUGGACUGUUUUGUUACUGCUCUGGUAUAUAUUUAUUUCCAGAGCAGUUUCCUAAAAAUUCUUUAACUGUUUUUUUAAGAACAAAUGUAUAAGCAUAUAGUAAAUCUGUAUAAAUUAAUGUUUUAUAUUUAUUUAUAUUUAAGUUCACUGUUAUCACUGUAAAUAGAACUGUAUGAACUAAAGUCAUAUCUGUCAACAUUCAGUUGGGCAGUAGAUUUUUAUAGUUCUGGGUUCUGAACUCUUGAAGUAAUACAUUCUCAUUAUUUAAGAAGUUAAUCCUAAGAUGCAUAUUUUUUUCCCCUUUUAAUAUCUCUGAAAUUGGGAUGUGUCUCAGUCAGUAUUUCCCAGGUGGCUGUCAUGGAAUCGUUGUCUGUGUGUACACAAAGUUAGUCAUGGUUCUUUAUCUUGCCAUCGCCUCAGUUGGGCUACAUACAAUAGUACCACAUGUGUUUGUUAUUUAAAAUAUCUUUACAAAUAUACUCUGUUUUUCAGUAUUUAACCACAAAGGCAUUGAUUACGUAGAGAGGCACAGAAACAGAGUAGCAGAGCAUAAAUUUAAUAUUAGUGAAGCAAAUAUUUGUUGAAGAAAUGACAGCAAUUCCACAUUUACUUACAGAGCAACAAUCAAGUGCUUUAUGGACCAAGCAGAGUACCUCAAGGCAGAAGAAAUUGUCAGAUCCUUUGGAAUAAGACUAAGUCUAAAAACCUUUAAAAAGGUCAUUUCGUUCAUUAUAAAAUAAAAAUGUGAAGUGGUAUAGUGCCGUAGUUUAAUUGACGGCAUUUUUUUUUUCUUCAUGUUAUAUCAGGUAAUGAUGUAUCUCAUAUUUGAUGAUGUAUUGGAUUUGGUAACUUUCAUUGUAUCUCAUUUUAUGUUCCUCUUGAUAAACAUACAUCCAUAUAAAAGCAUAAGACACGGAUUUCUUGAUUAAUGACUUAGGUAUACAUAAAAGUUCCCUAGUCUGGAGUCUGAAGCUGAAAAUAAGAUAUGCUCCAGAGACGUGAUUUAACCUACCUUAUAUUUUUCUAAUGGCUUUGUUCAUUGCAGACCACAUAGCCCUUCAUCUGUUCCAUCUCACAAUUAUAGAAUCUAGAAAAAUAAUUUUUUUCUGUAUUUCACUUCUAAAAUCACAUAUUUGUUAAAGCACUUGGAUACCAUUGUGCUUAACAAUGAGUCAAUUUCUAAUUACAAUUAAUAUAGACUUUGGUAGGUUUUACUUUUCAGAAUUUUUCAAAAGUAUUUCUACAUUAAAAUAGUGAACAUUUUGUUUAGGAAAUUUGUAUUUCCUAAUAUGGACCUCCCAAAAUAGAAGUUCUGGAAGAGUUUCUUAGGCCUUUGCUAAUUUUUUUUUUUAAGUUUCUUUCUUUUUUUGAGAGAGAGAUAGCGCAAGUAAGGGAGGGGCAGAGAGAGAGGUGAGAGAGAGAAUCCCAAGCAGCCUCUGCACUGCCAGUGGGGCUUGAACCCAUGAAGCCAUGCGAUCAUGAUCUGAGCCGAGAGCAAGAGUUGGACACUUAACCAACUGAGCCGCCCAGGCGCCCCUGGCCUUUACUAAUUUUUAAAUAAACUAAUAUGUAGAGGAGCAGGAACCUCCAUUUGUGGUUCUCUGUGCAAGACAGUAGGGCAGAGCCAUAAAUUGCCUUUAUGAAAAAAUGUUUGGAAUAAUACAGGCCUAGAAGAAAAUUAGCUAGCCAUUUCAUGUUAAUGAGUAACCCAUUAGAUCCUUUCCACACAGAAGUAGCGUGUAUGUGUGUGUGUAUAUAUACAUAUAUUUACAUAAAUGUAAUCAUUUUUUCUCUUAAGACUAUCAUAAGACUAAUUUAUUGCUUAGCUCAAGCUGCUACUGUUUAUUUUUGCCUUAGUUUGAUUGUCACCACACAUUUAUUUGCACAGUUUAGUAAGUAAGCAAUAUUUGUAUUCCAAAUGAUCUACUGGGACAAGGGGGGAGACUUAGGGACAGAGUAAUGAAUAUGACUAUUAACAGGAAGGUGCUUGCUUUUGCUACAUGGAUAUCUAAAUCAGUUGGUUCUUAGGAAGGCUCAUCUUCCAUGGGGGUGGGCAAGGGCACCAUGGUAGCAAUAUGUGGGAACAUCCCCGACCUAUCACCUGUCUGCAUGGUCUGUCAACUGACCAGAUAGCUAAUUCAUCUCAUUUGGGCCAAUCUGGGAAGGUCUGAUGUCAGCUAUCUUAACAUUACUUUCAAGUGUAAUACAUACAUUUUUUAUGCACGCCAAAGCUGCUAGGGAGUGAUGGCCAUUUCAUGGUCUAAGUGAAAGUCUGACAUACCAUUCUCAAGUUUACAUUCUAUCAAAAUAUAUGAACUUCAUAAUGAAAGUAAUAUGCACUAUUACUUUUAAAUACAUAUAGUCAUGUCCCAUGCACCAGCAUUUUUUUCCUUGUAAGGAAUAUUAAUGAGCUUUUUGCAAUGAAUUAUUCUAUAAAAAAUACUGUACACUGAGAUUGUAGGUUUUUAAAAUCAUAUAUAAACUUUGUAGAACUUUAAUGAAUACUCAUCAUUAAACUUUGAUUGCUUUUUCUUAUUUUCCUAGGAUUCUGACACUUCAUGACAUGUCAUUAUCUAGAGCAAUAAUGAACAUUGACCUGUUUCGGAUUAGUUGAUGACCUUUGGAAAUGAUCCAAUAGUAUCUACUACAGAGAAGCUGAAUAUACUUCAUUUGGAGUGAACAGCUCAGAUCGUCACUGGAUUUUUCAAGAUGACAGAUCCAAUGAUGGACUUUUUUGAUGAUGCCAAUCUUUUUGGUGAGACCUUAGAAGGUUUGUCAGAUGAUGCAUUUGUACAGCCAGGACCUGUUUCACUAGUCGAUGAAUUGAACCUGGGUGCAGAAUUUGAACCUUUGCACAUAGACUCACUCAACCAUGUUCAAGGUACUCCAACACAUCAGAAGAUAACUGAUUAUGAGCAGUUAAAUCAGUUUGAUUCAAUGAAAUUUCACCAGGUCAAUCAGCCUUUUGGUAGCCCAGCUGAACACGUGUUAUCUCCACACUCUCAGUUUAAUUGUUCUCCAAUCCAUCCUCCAAACCAACCCAAUGGUUUGUUUCCAGAUGUAGCAGAUGGCAGUCCAAUGUGGGGCCAUCAGACAGCUACCAGCAUUUCAAAUCAAAAUGGGUCUCCUUUCCACCAACAAGGACAUUCUCACCCUAUGCAUCCAAAUAAAAGCUUUGUGGUACACCAUGACUUUGCCUUAUUUCAGGCCAGUGAACAACAAACACAGUGCACUUCACUACGCUCACAGCAAAACAGAAACAGUCUUAACCCAGGGCAAAAUUCUCUUAGCCAGUCUAAAAAUUUUAUGGAUGUUAAUGUUUCUGGUCCACACAGAGUCAGUGUUAGCCACCCAUCACAAAUUACGAAUGCAUCUACGUCGCAACAGUCUCUUUCAA